rnacentral:lncRNA from 1 species
UGUCGAUCGUCCGACGUAUUGCAUAGUCACCAAGAGUGUAUCGAUCGACACUCCUCGUUGAUUCCUGAACCAAAAUCGUCUUUAGCUUCCUUUUUCUUAGCUUUUGCUCCAAAAUGUCUCCUUAUCUCUAUUAUUGUCCCAUUGAAUAGAAUACCUGAAAAACACUAAAAACACUCGAGAAAUAACAUAAAAACUCAAAAUCCUAUACCUAAAACAUAGUUAAAAUCGGUGAAAAUCGGGUUAUAUCAGUAAUGCAAGUUCCCAACCAAUCAAUGUUGAAGAUGAUGGAAUAAUAAGUCGACCUCCGGGUGUCAAGGCAGCAAAAGCGAAAGGAUAGAAGUCAGCCACUAUUAAAGAAGGAAAGAAAUCUGCUAGUAUUAAAGGAGAAGCAGACCAGUCAUCAGUCGAACAUUUUCAGAGCUUAUAGGAGCUUAAGGAGAAGGAUUGGGAUCACAAAGAGAAGCAAAGCAAUCAGAUACUUGAAAGUCUCUUUAGUGACUUAAGUGUCAGAAGUUUUCUCUCUCUUAACUCUCUCAAAUCUUUUAGAGAGAAAAAACUUUGAAUCUUGUUCAUAUCUUUUGCUAAUCCGAUUAACAUCGGAUCUCUUUAGAUUUCGUUUUAUGUUUUAGCUUUCUGACUAUUUUUCAGAUCUAUCUCAAACUUCUUGUCGGUUUUUCUUCUAUACUUUGUUUCGAUUUGUAGUUUUUUUGUAAAGCCUUUUGCCUGUUCUUCAAAUCAACACUUCUAUGUUGUUGAAGUGUUAAAUCAUUGUGGUUUGAUGGGUCUUUGUUAGCUGUGUACUUGAUUCUUCGUCCAAUUGUUGGUAAAUCCUCGCUUGCCCAUAUGGGAUUAAAUUAAGCGAUUGUUCACUUUGGUCGUUUGAUUUCAAGUGGUUGUAGUUGAUUGAAUUGGAGUAUGUAGAUUUGGAGUCCCUGUCGUGUUUGAUAGUUUCUCUGAAGACUGCUUCGAUUUUUAGCGGUUAAAGAAGAAAUCCGAUGAGCAAAGUAAAUCAAGUCAAUUACUUCCAAUGUUCAUUGCAAAAGGCGAUUGGUAAAAAGAAAGGCUUAAUCUGGUAGAAGCUGUUCGAAGAUGAUGAAGAACUGGAAGGUAAAGAAAUAUGCCGGUGACUGGAAGUAAUUCCCCGACGACAAUGGAGUUAAUGAAGAAACAACUUUUCUCCAGACCUGCCACGUGCCCGUGUUUAUCUUUUGUUAAGACAUGUGUCUAUGAGCUGUAUUGAUAUAAGCUUUAAUCUGUGUCUUUGGUUUAUAUUAAAUAUUUAAAUGGGUCUUGUACUUUAUGUGUAAUGCCCUUUGGGCUCUUUAAUGAAAUGAAGUUUGACGAAAAGAAAAGAAAAGUGUCAGGCAAUUUUUUGGAAUAAACAAUCCUCAGUUAUUUCAGGUCAAGAUGACAAAGUAUUUUCCGAGCAGCUCGACAAACUUCACAGUCUAUUCAGGUUAUAAUCAUAAAAAACAAGCAACCAAGUUUGUGGAUGUGAUACUAAAAAGAAAAUUGAUGUCCUAUGCUGUAAUUUCCAAACAAACUCUCAAGAUUAUUAGACUAUUGGUGGUUCUUUGGAGAUUUAGAAAUAGGCUAGUCUUAUCAACAUUAUUAGAUUAUUGAUGUUCUCAAAUUGUCUAUUUUUUAGGGUUCUAAAUAGAUUAGUGAUAAAUAAUAAAUAAGAAAUAGGUGUUUGUAAACUGGAAAAAUGUUAAAUUUUAAAAUUCCUCCAAAUAUAUACCCACAAUGUUUCACUGUAAAUUGUCUCUCAAAUCAUAUGAUAUACAAUUUUACUACAACAUCCCAAUUUGCAAUAACGAGAGAUUUAAAAAUAUUUUUAUAAAUGUUUAAUCAAAGAACCAUAGAUUUGGCAUUACGACAAAAAAAAGAAAAGAAAAUAAACAUAGAUUUAGAAUGAUUUUAACAAAUGAAAUUUGGAACGGUAUAAUUAUAAUACAUUUGAGAAAAUCAUUGGUGCAAUAAGGGGUGAUAGUUUUUUAAAACACAAAUCCUCCCAAAUCAACAAUUCAGUAUGCCUCCUAUUAAUAAUAAUAAUAAUAAUUAAAAUUAAAAUUAAAAUUUCAAAUAUAAAUUACAAUGAAAAGGUGAAAAAUAGAUAUAACUAAAUCAGUAAAAAAUAUGUUUUCUUCACAUAUUUAUAUAUUUUCUUUAUUAAAAUGUUUAAUACAACAUUCCAUGAUUUUGUUUUUGUAAUGUAUACAAAAACAAACUAAAACAAUUUACUAAGUUAACAAACUUUAAAAUAUCAAAUGUGAACUAUAUCUGGGCGUAGAUAUAAAGACGAUGUUCUAGAUUUAUUGUUUAGUAUCGUGUAAUCUGUGGUUGAGUAAUAAGAAGAUUCUUAUACAGUAGCUAUCCAAAAUCAUCAUCAAUCACACCAUAAAAGAGAGAAAACUAAAUUUGUAAACUUAUUUUAUGGGUUCAUUGAUCUCCAGGAGUUCAUUAGCCCUGGACUGGAUUCCUUUGAGAUACUCGGUCAAGAUAAGCUGAUGGUAUGAACCAUCUUCCUGGUCUGAUCAAAAUAAAUUUGGUCAGAAUGAUAAAUUCUGGAAAACCGUAUUGGUAACCAUCUCGUUCAAACACAAAUCAAAACCCGGUUAGCCUCACACUCAUUGUGAACAGAUAUUUUAACCAUCUGUUCUAGCCUUGUCAAACCUUGUCAAAUCAAAUCUAUGGGCGUAUCAUUUGGGCCCGCUAGAUCUAUUAUUGGGCCGUAACACUUAUUCUUUGGUCCAUUAUAAUUUUAUUUUCCGAUAAGUAAGAAUAACCAUAUGACACUACAAGAAGAUAAGCUCUUUCCGACGGACGAAAUCGUCGGAAUAACGUCGGAAACAGCCGUAUUCGACGAAUUUUUAACGACAUAGAUGGUCGAGACUAUCUUGUCGGAAAUGUGAAUGUCGACGCAAACGUGUUACAAAUUACCAACGGGUUUCCGACGAGAUAUUUCCCGAUAAUUUCUCUAUGCUUUUCUAACGAUAACAUUGGUUGCGAAACUGGUUGGAACAUAGUCGGAAAUGAUCGUCGGAUCCUCGUCGAAAAUAGUUUCCGACUAUUUUCUAACGAAUAUUGUUGUCAGGCAUUGCAUCAGAACGUUGUUAAAAAUCGGUCGGUAUCUUCUUCGACGGUUUCCCGACAACGUUAUUCCCGAUGGAUUCCCGACGAAGUAUUUCCGAUGGGUUACUGACGUUGUUGUAUUUUCUGACGGGUUACUGACGUUGUUGUAUUUUCCGACGGGUUACCAAAAAUCGUUUAUUCUUCGGGUUUUUUAACAUUCUCCUUUGUCUCUUCUCUUCUCUUAUCUUCCCCAACACCCCCCCACCCCCCGCAUCAAUUUCAAAUCCUAAUCUUUCGAAUCGUGGAGAAAAACCCUAUGUUUCUGAAUCUAAUGGUGGUAGUUUUGUUUCUUUAUUGGCGAUGGCAAAAUUAGGGGAAACACACGGUGGAUUUAUCCGCUCUUGUUGGUCGAGACGCAGGGGAAUCUUUCCUUUCUCUCAAGUUUAAGACGACAGAGCUUUCUAAUAUCAGUAUCACCAACGGAUGCUACGCCUCUAUGCGCUCGCCAAGUGGUGUAAGUCAUUCUCUGUUUCUACAAGUAUUUUUAAUGAUGUGGUGGAAGAUUAGGGUAUGGUUUUGUUUAAUCAUGAUCGAUUAGUUUUGAACACAUUUCUCUAGGGAUGAUUUACAGAACUGGAAGAUCCUACGAUGAUUUGUGGUGGAAGAUUAGGGUAUGGUUUUGUUGAAUCAUGAUCGAUUAGUUUUGAACACAUUUCUCGUAGGAUGAUUCACAGAAUUGGAAGAUCCUAGGUUGUUGAUGCUUGCUUGUGUUCUCUAUGUGAAUUGAAUGUUGAUAUCUAGUGUUUUUGGUUGUUUUAAAACCUCUUUUCUCUUAAUUUUUUGUUGCUUUGCAUUCAUAUUUUGGGAUAUAGUAUUGCAUUUGCAUUUGCAUUUGGUUUUCUUAGGUACAUGAGUGGAGUUUAGAAUUUUGAAAGUAAAAUGCAGCAAAUGGAGCAAACAAAUGAGCUAAGACAAUGUAAAGUGACCAAGGAGGAGAAGCUAGGAGGACAAUAGACCAAGUGGUCGAUUGCGUGGUCGAUUGCGUGGUCGAUUGGUCAGGACCAGAGCUACGAAGAAAAUUUAAAUCUACCAAAGUGGUCGAUUGCGUGGUCGAUUGGUCAGGACCAGAGCUAUGGAGGAAAUUUGAAUCUACCAAAGUGGUCGAUUGCGUGGUCGAUUGGUCAAGGAUUAAUGAUGGGGACGAUAUUUGAAUCUACCAAGUGAUCUAUUGCUUGGUCGCUUGCUUUCCUAAACCGGGUCAAAAUCCGAUUUGUUCCGUGUUGAUCCGGUUUAUUUUCUCAUUACUAUAAAUACUCUUAACCUAGUUUUAGAGAGGCGAGCUUUUGUUUUAGAGAUCAAAACUUCUUUUAAGGUUCUUUAUCUUAAGUUUUUGUAUGAAUCUUGGUUAGUUGCGUUUUGAAUCAAAGUUUACCUUUUAAAUCUCUUAUCUACCUUCUCUAAUUAUGAUUACACAAAGACCAAACCUAUUCCUUUGUGCUUUCAUGAUCAUGAGUGAGUAGUCAUUUAGAGUUCUUUGGUUAGGGUAGAUUAGGAUGAUUUAGAUGUUGGGUUAUGGAGUUUAGGGCUAGAUCACUACAAGAAAAGUGAGUAUUAAUAGCACUGAGUUAUAGCGUUUUAUGUAGUAUUGCUAUUAAUGAGUAACCACUGAUUUUUAGAUAGCGUUUAGAAUUUAUAAAACGCUAUGAAAGGUUUUUACUAAAAAACGUGUUUAUUAAAGUUGGUAUAUAAGAGUUUUGAUUGCAGAUCCAUAUUAAAACGCUACGGAAUCAUAAGCGGGAACUAAAAAAUUUUGGGCUCCAAAAAGCCUUUGACCAAAGACUUAGGCUCCAAAAAUAAUUUUCCUCGACUGUUCUUCUCCUUUGACUGUUCUUCUCCUUUUCAUCUCUCUCUAGCUCUUGAACUUCUUCACUGCUAAAAAAUUAAGAGGUUCUAUCUUCACUCUUCCUUACCAUCUGAGAUUGUCGCAUCUAUCUUCACUCUUGCUCUCUCGUCGAAAUUCGUACUCGACCACAAAUCCCAUCCAUCGUCUUCGUCCGCUUCAAGGUUGUAAUUUUUAGGGUUAAUGCAUGUAUGAUUUUGGGGUUUAGAUCUUGUUUUGUUUUGUUUCAAUUGAAGUUUUAAGAGUUUGGGGUUUUGAUUUGUCACAAUUUUGCUUCUUUUUAAUUGAAUCGAUUUGGGUUCUCGAUUUAGUUCACUAGGCUUUGAAAUUCUUUCUUUGAUGUUUCGAUUAGGGGUCUUGGCAACUCACAUUCGCCGAACAUUGUCUGAAACUGACACCAGUAUUUAGGGUUUUGCUUCAUCAAAAUUGUUAUUGUUUCGAUUUGUAUUUGGAUUUUUAGAUCUAUAAAUUGUACAGCACGAAUAGUUAUAGUCGAUUAUGAUGUCUUGUUUUUGGUUUGAUUCUUGUGUUGUCUUUAUUUUAGUGGUUUGAUUCAUGUCUUGUUUUCUGCAGUUCGAGUUUCGCAUAGACGAAGGACUAGCACUAGCAGGUAAUGGUUGAGUGGUUUAGUUCUUCUCUUAACUCAGCUGUAUUGCGAUUCAUGGAAUAAAAGUUUGUGUUUUUUUGCAGUCUCGGGUUUUACAAUUCACAAGAUCCCUCAUAGAUUCUUCUUCUGUGCAGGUAUUUGGUUUCUCUUUGUGUGAUUACCUUUAUUUGAUCCUCAUGGUUGGUGUCUGACAUAUAGAGUAACUCUAAUACUUGUGUGUUUAACUGCUGGUCGAGCUUUGGAGUUAUUGUUUUAAUAUGGAGAAGUCUUGGGUUUGGCUGCCAAGGUAAGCUUAUGAUUGUUAUUUACGUUGUUCUCUUAUACUUACAGUGAUUAUAUUGGAGUUAAUUUGUUAAUUUUAUUGACUAACAGGGCUAGCCCUGAAUAUGGAGAAGGAGCUAAUAAUUUUGUUGAGGCGCCAGCCAGGAGAUUGGGUAAUCCUGAGGAUAUUUUAUGUCCCUGCAGUGAUUGCCGGAAUGUUUGCCAUCAACCAUUAGGGACAGUAGUAGAUCAUUUGGUGAUUAGAGGUAUGGAUCAAGAGUAUAAGAUGAAUACUUGUUGGAGCAAACAUGGAGAUAUCAGGGAUCAUCAGCGGACUGAUGUUCAGACUUCUGAGUUUGAGGCUUAUGACUUGAUUAGGACUGCAUUUUAUCAGGGAGAAGAAAAUCUGCAGUCUCAGACUGAGAGUGGUGAUCAGGGUUCUCAUGUUGAGAGUAAAGAAGAAUCAAAGAGUUUAGGCAGAAACUGAUUGAUGCAGAAACUCCUCUAUACUCGACGUGUCCCAGCUAUACUAAAGUUUCUGCAAUCAUGGCACUCUAUCGCAUAAAGGUUAAAAGUGGUAUGUCUGAGAACUACUUCGAUCAGCUCUUGUCAUUAGUGCACGACAUGCUACCCGUGGAUAAUGUUCUACCAAAAUCCACAGAUGAGAUGAAGAAGUUCUUGAAGCUAUUUGGUUUUGGUUAUGAAAUGAUUCACGCAUGCCAGAAUGAUUGCAUUCUGUAUAGGAAGCAGUAUGAGCAGUUAGUAAGCUGUCCACGAUGUAGUGCAUCAAGAUGGGAAAAGGAUAAGCACACAGGAGAGGAAAAGAAAGGGAUUCCAGCGAAGGUUUUACGGUAUUUUCCAAUCAAGGAUAGAUUCAGGAGGAUGUUUAGAUCAAAGAGAAUUUCUGAGGAGUUGCGUUGGCAUUUCAGUAAUGCAAGUGUAGACGGGUCAAUGAGACAUCCAGUUGAUUCAUUGACUUGGUUUCAGGUGAGGGAUAAAUAUCCAAAGUUUCCAGCUGAACUAAGGAACCUUCGUCUUGGGCUUUCCACAGAUGGGAUGAAUCCAUUCUCAAUGCAGAAUACGAAGUACAGUACAUGGCCGGUUAUGUUGGUGAACUAUAACAUGUGUCCGACUAAGUGUAUGAAAGCUGAGAACAUCAUGUUAACUAUGCUCAUUCCAGGACCUACUGCGCCGAGUAACAACAUAGACGUGUAUCUUGCACCUCUUAUAGAUGAUCUAAAUGAUCUUUGGAAAGAAGGAAUUGAGGUUUAUGAUUCUUAUGCUAAGGAGAAUUUUAGACUUAAAGCUAUAUUAUUGUGGACUAUCAGUGAUUAUCCGGCUUUAAGGACUCUAGCUGGCUGUAAGGUUAAAGGGAAACAGGCGUGUAACGUUUGUGGCAAAGAUACACCACAUAGGUGGCUAAAGUUUAGUCGGAAGCAUGUUUAUUUGGGAAACAGGAAGCGACUAAGGCCAGGACAUCCCUACAGAAGGAAAAAGGCUUGGUUUGACAACACAGUUGAGGAUGGAACUGUGAAUAGAAUUCAGACAGGAUCUGACAUAUUUGAGACACUUAAGGACUUUAGAAAUGAUUUCGGAAGACUUUUGGAUAAGAAAACAAAGAGGAGCAGAACAGAUUUGGGAGAUGAGGAUCUGGUUUUAGAAGAAGAAUAUGAAGAAUAUACAGAUCAGUGGCGGUGGAAGAAGAGGUCAAUACUCUAUGAAUUAGCAUACUGGAAGGUUUAGUUCAUUCAGAAGAAGUAUAGUGUUUUCUUUGUGAACUAGUUUUGUUGUUUGUCCUAACUUAUUUUUCUUAUUUUUCAGGAUAUGUCAGUCCGUCACAACAUAGAUGUGAUGCAUGUGGAGAAGAACUGCUUUGAUGCAUUAUUGUCCACUCUAAUGCAAAGUUCUAAAUCCAAAGAUGGAUGAAGGCAAGGAAGGAUUUGGAAGACAUAGGAAUUCGAUCACACUUACACACAGAGGUAAGAGGAAAGAAGACUUACUUGCAUCCUGCAGCUUAUUGGUUAUCUAAGACAUAGAAAAAGGGUUUUUGCAGUAGGCUAGCUAAAUUCAGAGGGCCUGAUGGUUAUUGCGCUAAUAUCUCAAAUUGUGUUUCAGUAGAUCCUCCAAUAAUUGGUGGCCUGAAGUCACACGAUCAUCAUGUACUUAUGCAAAAUCUCUUGCAUGUGGCGUUGCAAGGGUUUCUGCCUAAAGGCCCCAGAAUUGCAGUUACCCGUCUAUGCAAUUACUUCAGUAGACUGUGUCAGCGUGUCCUUGAUCCAGAGAAGCUUCUUGCAUUAGAAGCUGAAGUUGUUGAGACAAUGUGUGAAAUGGAGAGGUUCUUUCCUCCUUCACUUUUCGAUAUUAUGUUCCACCUUCCCAUACAUUUAGCAAGGGAAGCACGAUUGGGUGGCCCUGUUCAUUUUCGUUGGAUGUAUCCAUUUGAAAGGUACAUUUUCUUGAAGCUUUGUUUGGUCUGUCUCAAUUUUAAAAGUGAAAACCACUUAACUUUAUUUGUACUGUUUUGAAUGAUGAUGUCAGGUACAUGAAAACACUGAAAGCAUAUGUUAAAAACUAUGCUAGGCCAGAGGCAUGUAUGGCUGAGGGGUAUUUGGCUGGAGAAUGCAUAGCAUUCUGUACUGAGUUUCUUCAGAAUUCAUUACCACCCCAAGAAGAAGUCAAUCAAAAUGAAGACCUUGAAACAGAUGAGAAUAUCCUAGAGGGUCGACCGCUGAAUAAGGCUACUGAAGUUACUCUAACAGAGAGAGAGAGAGAUAUUGCACAUCGAUAUGUUUUAAUGAACAUGGCAAUAGUAGAUCCAUAUAUUGAGUAAGUUCUAUCUUCAUUCUUGUCAGUUUGUUCAGCUUAACUUGUAUAAUCAACUUACAGACCUUGUUACUGCAAGAUGCAUCUAGAGGAAUUGCAAGCAGUCGAUGCUAGAUGCUCUAAAAACGAAACUUUGUUAUGGAAACUUCAUAACGACAGGUUUCCUCAGUGGAUCAAAGAGAAGGUAAUGUUGUCAUCGAUUAGAGAAUGUUUGGUCUGUUGAUAAAAGAGACUUUAUGUGUCAUUGAUUAGUAUUUUGUACUGUUUUCCUGUUAGAUACCUACUAAUUCAAAGGAGCAUUCUACAAAGCUGAGAUGGCUUGCAUUUGGUCCAAGACUUGUUGCUCAGACCUAUAAGGGCUAUAUUAUAAAUGGUAAUCGGUUCCACACAGAGGAUGUAAGGCGAAAGACUCAAAACAGUGGUUUAACAUAUGAAGCUUUCAGUAUGUGUAGAUCAAGUGCCAAAGAUACUAGACACCAAGCAGACAUAGUAGCAUUUUACGGAGUGAUUAAGGAUAUCAUAAUGUUGGACUACCACAUGUUCCAGAUUCCCAUUUUCAAUUGUAGUUGGGCCAACAAAGGGAAUGGUGUGAAAGAAGAAGAUGGAUUUACACUUGUGAAUCUUCAUUUGAGUCAAGCUGCGUUUCUGCAAGAUCCUUACAUCCUGGCAUCACAAGCAAAACAAGUUUUCUAUUCUAGAGAAAGUGACUUGAGUCAGUGGUAUGUUGUUAUGAAGGCGCCACCAAGAGGGUAUCAUGAAUUAGAGACAGAAGAGGAGAGUGUUAGUCAGUUGUUAGUCCACCCAAUAGAAGACAUGGGAAAUCAAUCUUCAGAUGAUGAAAGUUUUUGUGCUAGAGAUGAUUGUGAAGGGCUCUUAGUAUUAGAAUAGUUGUUGACUUGUCAUUUUUAAUCACUUUUUAAAAAUUGAUCUUGUUGCAGGGGAACCAGAAUGAUGUCAAGUCAAGCUAACACCAAACCACGUCGCAGUAAGCGUCAACAGGGACUUGAGGUGAGUCCUUUUGAAGUAAGAAAAGUUAGGAAAAACAAGAAGCAAGCGAGUCCUCUUAAGCCUGUGAGAGAGGAAAACAAUGAGUUGAGUGUUGAUGAGGGAGAUGAGCAAGUUUCAGACCUUAAUGAAGAAGAUGCAGACCUUAAUGAAAGCAAUCAGGAUUUACCUGCUGAUGAUAAUGCACAGCAUGAGAGCAUUCAGGAGCCAAUCGAAGAAGACACAACUAGAGUUUCAAACCAGAGUGAAGAAGCACAAUCCCAUCAGUCAGGGACUAACAAAUAGAGAACUAGAGGUCCAUCUAAGAUGCGUAAACUGGCUAAACAUCUAGAUGAUAAGGUCGAUGUUGAAUUUACAGAAUUGGGUGAACACUUUGGGAAUGGUUCAGUCAAACUGUCGUCCUUUCUUGGUGCACUAGUCAGGGAGCAUGUACUUGUGAUACUUGAUGAUUGGAAGCACCUUGAUGAACUUACAAGACACGCACUUUGGGAGGAAAUUCAGGUAUGUAUAACAAUUUAUUUAGUUUACCAGAACGUUCCCUUGUGACUCUUAGUUAACAAUCUAAACUUAUGUAGGGGAGGUUUAAUCUGCAAGAAGAAUGGCAAAAACAAGCUAUUUUUAGGCAGAUGGGUUGUUUGUGGAGGUCCCAUAAAUCUAAGAUUCUCUCAAAGGUUAAAGCUGCAAAGACAAAGCUUAGAGUACUUGAGCUAAGACCAAGCAACAUCCCAUAUGUCGCAGUUUGGAGCAAUUGGGUGAAGAGUAGGACUAGCAGCACUUUUAAGGUUGUAUUCAUUGUGAAAUUUGAUUUUCUAAAGUAAAUUUACAAGAAAAUGUUAAUAAUGUUGCAUUGGGUUUGAUUUGUAGGUACAAAGUGACAAAUUUAGGCAAUUAAGGAGGGCACAAAUUCCACAUACUACCAGUCGAAAAGGAAUGAUUCGCCUGGCUCAAGAGAUGGUAAGUUUAUAUAGUUUUUGGUUACGAAUAUCUCCUUGAAAACAAUAGUGAGUUCUGCUGCUAUUUAAAUUAAUAUUUGGUCGUCGAAAAAAACGAGUUUAGACCCAAGGAAGGUGACAAGAAGCAAGGUUUGGGUAGCAGGACACACACAUUCUGAUGGGAGACCUGUGAAGCCAGAGUUUGAAGAGACCAUUGUAAGAAGUUGUCCUUUAUUCUAUUAUCAUUUUCUUGAUCAAUUUGUUUAUCAAGAUUUGUGUUUUGUUUCAGGAAAAAAUAAAGUCAAUUGACAGUGAAAUGGACUCCACAUCUAAUACUAAUAUUAGAGAAGAUGUUGUUAGUCAAGUAUUAGGAAAGGACAAACCCGGGAGAGUCAGAGGGAUGGGCAGAGGGGUUACUUUUUCUAAGCUAGCUUUCAUGCAAGUUAGAGAUUCACAUGUGCAGCAGCUUGAAGCUAAACAAGCUGAAUUGAUCAGCAAACUUGAAGACUUGCAGAAUGUCGUUCAUGACUUAGCUGGCAAAAAUGUAUGUUUCUCACCUCUGUUAUGAUAGUGAUGUAGUCUUUAUUUUACUGAUGCCCUUUUUUGUUCUUCACAGUUUCCAACAGAUAGUCACUCAAAAUCAGAAGCAACUAGUAUAGUAAAGUAGUUAGAUGUCAGCUACUGGAUUGGAAUGCGUCUACUGAAGUUGUUGUUGGAGAAGGAGAAUUCUGCUAAUUGAACAAACUUACAAGAUUGGUCGUAUAAGACUUGGUCCAAACGCAGCAGCUAUUAUUGUGAGGUCUGUCCUAGUCGAAGAUGCAUAUGUCUGGAGACCUACACCAACCAUUUGCUCACUUGGGCAAGCUUUGGGGAGUAAAAUUGCAUGGCCAGCUGAUAAGGUGAUAUUGGACAAUGAUGAGCACACAACUGAAAAUAAGACUGCUAGCUCCACGGUACUUUCUAACUUCUAACUUGAUUUAUUCUUAAAUGUGGAACUUAAGUGGAACUUUGCUGAUAUAUAUGCCUGAUUACAUAGGAUACAUCAACAGAUAGAGUUCGCAUUAUUGAUUGGACUUUUGAUGAAGUUAUAGCUGAAGGUAUAUUAUGUUCAACUGAUCCAAAAGAAAUGGUGAACAAUACUCAACUAGGUCUGAAUGUUGCAGUUGUUAAAGUUGAUCUGGUAAUUAAAGGCGAUGCUUUUUUGUGGAGACCAAGUAUUGAAAUGUCAAUGAUGAGUGAAGCACUUAAUGAGAACAUCGUCUGGCCUAUUCAGAAGAUACAAUUUAUAAGUUCAUCGUCGGUACAUGAAUCAGCUAACAGACCAUCACCACUACAGGAAUCACCUACCAGACCAUCAUCAACGGUAUGAUAUUUCAUCUUCUGUGAAUUUGUUUAGAUACAGUUGAGUAGCUGCAAUGGUGAGAACUGCUCUAAUACAUAUAUACAUUCAAAUUUUAAAUUGACAGACUCUAAGUAACACUUCGGGUAACAUCAAUGGUGGGAAACAGAAGUGUAUUUUGCUGGAUAUCAAUAACUUUAGCCAAAGAGUUGCAGAAGGCAAGGUUUGUUCAUCUAAACCUGCAGAUGUUGUCCACCAUGUCCCCUUAGGUCAGAAUGCUAGCAAGGUAUGGGUCGAAGUUUCAAAGAUUGGAGAUGCAAAAGUGUGGAGGCCAAAUUCAGAAAUUCAAUUCAUUUCCGAUGCAAUAGGCACUAUUGUAGCUUGGCCUAAUGACAGACUCAUGUUACUCUGAACUUGCUGAACUUGAUGUAAUUUUUUUACUUUUUUAUCACAAACAAAGAUUGUAUGAAUUUUAGAUGUUUUAUUGAUUUUAUGAAAUUUAAUUUCUUUUCAAAUUGAUUUUUACAAUUUGGUUGACCUGUCACAACAAUUAUUUCUGAAAUUGAAAUUAUUAAUUCGUAAAACGAAAUUAAAUUUUAUAUAUUUCCAGAAUUCAGUGAGAUAUAUAGUAACAUUUCACUAACGCUAUUUAUGAAUUAUUAAUAACAAAACAAUAGUGCUAUUAUAAAAUCUACAGUAGCAAACAAAUAAACGCUAUUAAAGAUAAUUUUAAGAUAGCAUAAACAAAAAGCGCUAUAUAAAGUGUUCGACCUAUUAUCGCGGUUGAUGAGAUAGCGUUUUUAUUAACGCUAUCUAUUUAUACGAUAGCGUUAUUCAGAUGUUAUUAAUUCUCGUUUUUCCUGUAGUGGAUUACUUAAGAUCCUUGUUUAUUGGUUGCUUUUAAGGAUAGAUCAACCUUGAUCAUGUUGAUUUAGACACUAGGAAUUUCAUGCCCGGAAGGUGUUCGAUGAAUUUCCCGAACCAAAAUCUUUAAGUGAUUUUCAUACCUUACCUUUGGAAAUUGUUGAUUAGGGUGAUUAAUGGCUAGAUAGACUUGUUAUUUAUGCUUAUUGAUCAACUGAUUGCCUUUGGAAAUUGUUGAUGAUAGAUUGAUUAGUAAAGGGAUUAAUAUCAUGGAAAUAUGUUAGUCUUGCUUAGUGUUCUAUGGCCUAAGGAUCAUUGCUUGUUAGAAGUUGUUUGAUGCUCCAUCUCUUUAUCAUUUCUAAUCGAUUACCUUAACCCGAGAAUUCGUCUUUAGUUAUCACUUAGUAAUUUGUUAAUUUUCCGCUUUGUUUACAUUUGAAACUUGUUAGUCUUUUGUUUCUUGCUUUCUUUUAUCUUGUUUUGCAUUGUUUGCUUGAUAAUGCAUUGUUACUAAGAUUUAGAAUACUUAAAAUCAUCUUGUUAGCUUAGAUUAAGCAAUUGUGUGUAUUCUUGGUGAGUUGAUUAAUUGCAAAUUAUGGUUCCAUAAACAAUUGAAAACAAAUGCUACAUCAAAUGUUAUGUGAUGCUGGAUUACAUGCUUGCUUGGGAGAAGUGUUUGUUCAUAGCCCUUAUCACAGUGAUUAUGUCUUCGGAGGAAACUGUGAUGUCAAUGAUCGAGUAAAGACUGUGUGGUAAGUGUCAAUACCAAGUAGUUAAUUUGGAAUUUGUGUUUCAUAUAAUCUUAAUACAAUUUUGUUGUGUCACAGCUGGAGGCAACGCUUAUUCAACUCUAAUGUCUGCAAGUUCCUCUUAUGAAUUACUUUCAUAUUUCAAGACCUUGAGAGCACAUUAUCUGCUCAUGACAUAUGCUUCACACAAGCUGCGGAUUCGCUCUACCUUAUUAUGCUUGAAUUUCUACAGCAAGUUCACGCUCCUGUCUAUGGUUAGAUUCUGAUAAACAUAUAUAAUUAACCUUGUUGUCAAUGAUCAAGUAAUGACUGUAGUAGUUGUAGUAUUUGCGUUUCAUUUGACAUUAAUAUUGUUUUGUUCUAUCAUAGCUGGAGCAUGACAGAAAGAAGUUGCAACUCAGUGAUACAUGAGGCAAUGUGAAGGAGUUGUUCAAUGAACGCAGAGCAAUAGUGUAAGUCUCUACAUUUGGGAAAAACGCUCUAUUUCCCGCCGAGAACUAUGGACAUCACGCCAGAUAGAGCAUGUUCUUUCACCUCGGUCUAUUUACCCAUGAGUUGGAAGUUAAAUGCUGAUUUCCCCACCAAAUCAAAGUUCUACAGCUUAAUGUCCCCGAGACUGUGUUUUCUUGGUUUGGUGAGUAAACCCUAUAGAAAACGAAAUACUGGUCAUAAGUAAACCAAAAAUAUAUCUUAUUCCUUUUAAAAACCAGACCCAAUAUUCAUCCCCAAAUUUUUAAAAUCAUUGCUCGAUAAAUUCCCAUCUAAGAACCCUGAAACAUCAAAAUUUUAAUUCCCUUCAGUUCGAUUAGAAAACUCGAAUUCAAUUUCGAUGAGCAAUCUAUCUACUAGUUUGACGGGAUCUACAAGUUCUCGUGGAAGAGGAAGAGUCGACAGAAUGCCAAAAAGAUGUUGGUGUAGGGAAGGAAUUGUUGCCCUAACAUCCAAAUCCGAUACGAAUCCUUAAAGAAGAUACUUUCGUUGUGGUUUUGCUGCAACAAACAAGGUAAUUUCAUUGAUAUUCAUCAAUGUUUAAGCUGAAUUAGAUUUUUUUACUUAUGAAUUUUAUUGUUCAUUGAUAGCUAAGGAAUGAUGAACACACUUUCAAGUGGGUUGAUGAAGCUUUGAUCAAUGAUUUAGACAAGUUUAAUGCAAAGAUUGGGGAAGUUGAACAACAAGUGAGAGAGCUUAGAACACAGAGUUUGGAGUUUGAGAAAAUGGUUUGUGAGAAAGUCCAAAUGAAGAUUGAGAAUGAGUUAUUUGAGAAAGUGGACGAUGCUUUGGCUGAAUCAAAAGAAGGCAAUAAGAAGAUGAUGAUCGUCGUAGUGAUAGGAUGUAUGAUCAUGAUUGGAUUGAGCAAAUUAGUCGGAUGAAUGUUUAUGUCUCGGUUUAGAUUGAACAAAGUAGUGUUAGGAUGCUUUGUGUUGUUACUCUUGUUUGUUACUUUGUUUGACUUUUAUGAUUAAGGUAUUUUGUUCGGAUGUUUAAGAAUGGUAUGUUGUUUCGAUGAAUGUUUAUGUCUCGGUUUUCAUCUCUUGUUGUCCUUUUGUUUGGCAUACAACUAUGAACAUUAAUCCACAAAAGAUGCAAUAACAAAAUAAAUACAAUAUUCAAAAGUAGUACAUAACAGCCAAGGAUACAUAAGAGUCAAAACAAGUACCCAUAAUAUCUGAGAAUACAAAAGAACUAAGGUUCAUAACAUCCGAGAUAAAAGAAGUGCCAUACUAGCCCUACUAAGCUAUUACAUAGAGAUCAAACUUGAGUGAGUGAAUCUUGACUUGGUUCAGGUUGAAAAAGCUGUGAAGCUGAUUGAGAAGCCUGUAAAAAAAGCUGAAUUAUGUUAGUAUAAUCCAACAGUAGCCACAUACAUAAAGAGAAUGUCACAAUUUUGUUACCACAUGUAAAGCAUUUUUUCAUAUUUUUUAUUUAAAUUUAAUAUUGUUUAUUUGUGCUCCAUAUUAAAAACUUUCCUGGAUCCGCCAACGGUAGUGUUUUUACGUAUAUCAUUUUUGCAUUUAUCUUUUUAAAAAAAUUUGGAUUUCAAAUCCAAAUUCCAACAAAAAGUUGCUAUGUCCAACUCAUCCCAAACCUAGAACUAAGUCCACAUCCCAUAUAGAUGAUGUGUCAAAAUACAAUCUGAAUCAUAUUAAUAAAAGAGCUGAUAGAUCGACUUCUAGUUGAAAGAAAAUGUUAGAAAGACAUGGGUUUUAGUUUAACUAUAUUGGUUAUAUUUUUCCUGAAAUAAUUUCAUAAAUCUAUUAAAAAUAUUGAUAAACUGAAACACUAAUUUUCUUAUAGUCAAAUUUAGUGACUCGGGUGUCGGAAAGUUUUUGAAAUAAACAAUCCUCAUAUAUUUUCAUACUUAGACAUAAGGUUUUUUGUUGCCGACCUAUAUGAUCUUUUCUUAAUUUGCGAAAAAGCCCACGUAAUCCCCAAAAAAAUAAAAAAAGUAUAAAUGUACUGUAAAAUAAUCCGGGCUACGUACGGACAUACAAAUCUCCAAUUUUAUAUUUUAUGUUAUUGAAAAAUCAACUUAUAUAUUAUAAAAUUGUCUUUUUAACAAUAAAAACCAACGUGUUUAUUGUUUGGCUGGAAACAGAAGUCGCACGGUCUUGCCAUUGGUUACUAUCUUACUGGUGGUGGUAGAUACCAUCAUCAACACGAAUAUUCUUUGGUUGUCGGCUAGAAUAUUUUAACAGGCCAUAUUUAGCUUUUGGUUGUUGGCUAGAAUAUUUUAACAGGCCAUAUAAAAUCACUUUAGGUUUCUUCUCUACAAAUCAUGUAUUUGGUAACAUAAGCUAGACUAAAUAAACAUUAGUUGAAAGUAAUAAUAUGGCAGAAAUUAACAGCACCUUGUAAAUUAUUUGAGAUUACAUAUAAUAUUAAUCUUAGUUGACGAAUUUUCAAUACAUAUUUAUUUUAUUCGUUUGUCUGUCGCUAGACUCAGCCAUAUUAACCAGCGACAAAUUACAUUGUUCGUUUGUCUGCUGUUAUAUUCAUCGAUCAAUUGCAGCGACUAUAAUUGUUGCUAUCUUUGCGGUUUAGUCUCCUGAGCCGGUUUUAUGUCUUGCGAACCGAUUCUUCAACUCCAUCAUUUAUUCUAUCAUUAGUCAAAAAUAAUAUCUCUUACGAACUACUUCGUUUAACCUAUAAAAAUCGUUAAAAAAAAACCCAGCUAUCUCAUACACGAAGCUGUCUAAACUCCGAAGCAAUUUAUAACAACGUACCUCAUACGUGAGAGUGGUGCAAGUUAAUCCCACCAUCACUAUAAUAGACGGUUUUCUAAAAGCUUGAAAAUAUGAGAGAUGACAAAGCUCGACAUUGAUAAGCUUUGAUAGAAGUUGAAAUAUGACUGUUCCAAAUAACGUAACAGUUAGAGAUAUAUGAGCUUUCCAAAUAACGGAACAGUUAGAAAUAUAUGAGCUUCUUUAUAUCUAUUCAUUAUAUCAUUCUGAAACGACUCAUAACAAACAAAAUAAAUCUACAUCUUCACAUGAUUGUGAUAUAAACACAAUGUAUUAAUCAGAGAAAUUGGAAAAAAAAAAAAGGAACUUGCUAAACAUCAACAACACCCAACGAAAACCCCUAGUGGUUAAAGAUAGAUACCACUAAGACUAACAGUAACAUAUGAAGUUCAAAAAACACAAGUAAUCUAAAUAAUCGAGCAUUCUUAUGGUCAUCGCCCAAACUGGAUAUUUGAUCACGUUUGUAUCAAUUCGUAAGGAUUAUAAUAAUAAAAAAUAUAAAAAUCAUAAGAUCACUUUUGUCGCUUGUACUGGUCACCAAACUGAUUAUGCACACUGAUAAGCAAUAUACUAUCAAUCUUUGUCCCAACAUCUGCUUGAGAAGUUUUUUUUUUUUUUCUACAAUGUUAUAUAUGCCUCGUCAAUUCUACAGCUUAACACUAUUAUCAAUGGUAGUUUCUCAUGCUAGCUCUUAGAUAAAUUAGGUAUUAAAUUUCAUGUUUAAAAUGAUUAAUUGUUAAGAAUGACUUUUAUAUAAGAGUCAGAUCUAAUAUUUCUUAGAUUAGUUCUUAGAUAAAUUAAGUAUUAAAUCCAAUAUUUCAAUUCAAUUAAUCUUAGUUCUUAGAUAAAUUAGGUAUACUAAAUCUAGUCGUUUUCGUUUAUGUUUACGUCAUAUUUGUUUAAACUUUUAUGUCAUGGAUCUUUUAAAUUUUAUGAGUUGUACUGAUUAUUAAGUUUUUCAAAAUUAAAAUGUUUAUAUUUUUUAUUUUAAAAUAUAUUUUUUUAAGAACUCCAAAUUAAGAGGCCACAACUGCAUAUCGUCAAAAUUUUAAUCUCUUAGCCAAAAUCUUAACAUCAAAAUUUUUAAAAUCAAUUAUAAAAAUAUUCCUAAGAACUAUAUUAAGAUUAUGCUAAGAAACUACCGUUGAUUAUCCUCCGAGUCCGAUUUACUUUUGUUCCUUGAAAAGAAAAAAAAAACACAGAAGAAUUAGAUACUGCCAAAAAAUAACAAUAACAUGCAAACCUUUAUGUGAAUUCCCUAAGACCUGCCUGCAAUCUAAUCCGUAUGAUGGAUUAACCUCUGAAAUCUAACCCAUAAAUUUUGAUGUGUCUCUAGAGAGCAUUGAGAAGCCUAAUUUAUAUUGAAUUUUAUUCGUUUGUGAUGAAAUUUAGAAGACGAAAGGGUAAUCUGGAAGAGAAAGAGAGGCGAGGAAGUGAAGAGAUGAAACGCUUCGGAAACCUAAUUUUUUCCGUUUACUUGCAACUAUUGGAUCCUUAAAAUGUUAAGCUAAGAGAUUGUGAAUCACAUUUUAAGAGUCUUUGGUUUCUUAAAAACUAACUAAUUAUUUAAAAACAAUUGUUGCUUUCACAGUAUAUUGUCAUAUUGUGGUGUAUAUCAAAAAGGCAAAAUCUUAACUAAACUCCAAUAUUUUGGAAAAAUGUGAACUACUUCCAAUUUUGGAUAUAUCAACAAAAACAAAAGACACUACAUCAUGACAAAGAAAAAAAAAAAGAGUCACUUUUGAUGACCAGUGAUAGAGAUGAAGAUUUGGUCGUAAAGUAGGGAAGAUUCAAAAAUUCACGACUCAUUACUAUAUACUAUUAACUUUCCUUUAGAAGAAAUAACACCGUAUCUCUCCAAUAUUUUAAACUAUAGUUAGAAUAUAGCUUGUUAAUAUUUUGUACAGCGCAUAGAGAUUUCCUUAUUGAUUCUGUUGUCUAGUCUAUAUAUAUCGUUGAAAGGUGUAUCUCGAGAAACACAACCAUCUUACUCUACAUUUCCCAUUUUUGAGACUCCUAAAUCAUUUUAACCUUCUUCCUCAAUCGUGACCAUCACCAAUGACGCUACACGUCAUUGAGACUGCCCGAGUCACCCCCACCGACUACUCAGUCAUCAACUCAGCCAACUUGCACAAACUUCCUUUAACUUUCUUCGACCUUCCAUGGCUACUAUUCCAGCCAGUCAAAAGAGUCUUCUUCUACGAGCUCACCGAGUCUACUCGUGACCAUUUCCACUCCAUUAUCCUCCCUAAGCUCAAGGACUCUCUGUCCCUUAUCCUCCGUAACUAUCUCCCUCUCACUGGCCACAUCACUUGGGAGCCAAACGAGCCAAAACCGAGCAUAAUCGUCUCGGAAAACGGCGUCGUUUUGGUGACUAUAGCCGAGAGUGACGCUGACUUUUCUCAUCUUUCCGGUUAUGGACAGCGUCCUUUGUCAGAGUUACAUGCCUUGGUUCCCAAGUUACCGGUUUCUGAUGACUCAGCGACCGCUUUCUCCAUACAAAUCACGUUGUUUCCUAACCAAGGAUUCUCCAUAGGUGUUGCAGCACACCAUGCUGUUUUAGACGGGAAAACGUCAAGCACUUUUAUCAAAGCUUGGGCUCAAAUCUGCAAACAAGAACUUCAAAGCAUGCCGGAGAAUCUAACUCCGUCUUAUGACCGGUCUUUGAUCAAAUAUCCGACCUAUCUUGAUGAAAAGAUGAUAGAGUUAGUGAGAUCUCUCAAAGAGGACCAAACCAACAUCAGAAGCUUGACUUCGCUUCCCUCUAGUAAACUCGGAGACGAUGUCGUGUUAGCCACGCUAGUUCUCUCUCGGGCUGAUAUUGAGAGACUUAGGGAACAAGUCAAGAACGUGUCACCGAGCCUCCACUUGUCGACUUUUGUCAUUGCUUACGCUUACGCGUGGACUUGUUUCGUGAAGGCACGUGGAGGUAAUAAAGACAGAUCAGUGAGUCUCUUGUUCGUAGGAGAUUUCAGAGACCGGUUAGAUCCGAAGCUCCCGGGGACUUACUUCGGAAACUGUAUGAUUCCGGUGGGCUGUUAUAACCGUAAGGCGGCGGAGUUUAUGGAAGAGAAGGGAUUUGUGACGGCGGCUGAGAUUAUUAGCGAUUUGGUGAAAGGGUUGAGUUCAAGAAAGAUAGAGACCAUUGCGGACACUUUCGUGGAAGGAUUUAGUUUUCAGAGUUGGAGUACACAGUUUGGGACGAUAGCCGGGUCGACCCGGUUGGGAGUAUACGAGGCGGAUUUCGGGUGGGGAAGACCCGUUAAAGUUGAUAUUGUCUCCAUUGACCAAGGAGAAGCGAUCGCAAUGGCUGAGAGACGUGAUGAGUCAGGUGGCGUUGAGAUUGGAAUGUGUUUGAAAAAGACUGAAAUGGAUUCGGUCGUGUCUUUUUUCAACAAUGGUUUACAUAGCUAAACUCUUGUUUUGUAAGAUUUUAAUAAUAAGGUAAUGCUUGGUUAGUUAUUCUUGUUUUUUUCUCACAAGAAGUAUUGGGCAUAAUUCUCCACUAAUAAAUAAGUUUAAAUAAAGAUAUAUUAGUAAAAGUCUCCAAAAACACAUAUAGAAGAAAACAAGAUUUCUUCAGAAACUAGAACAUUUAUACACUAGAAAAACAUCUCAAGCCAUCUCUUAAAAAAAGAUGAGAAUUUUAGACUAUCACUCUUCCACUAUGAAAAAUGUUAUAAGUCAUUCCAACCUAUUCAUCGUUAUAAUCAUUUUUUCAUCAAGUAUAUCUCUAAUUCAUUACUUGUAUCUCCAAUUUUUUAGAUUAUACAAAAAAAUAUAUCAUUUUGACAGCCAUCAUCAUAAAAAUGUCUCAGUCACUUGAUUCAUCUUUAUCUAUAGGAAGAUCUAGAGACAAAAGAUAAUGUUCUAGCAUAAUCACGGACAAAGAUAAUGUCCUAGCAUCACAUCCAUUCAUCACUACUGGAUCCCGUAUUGUCAUAUAUUAUGCACUAUCAUAUAUCAUGGACCAAUUAUGAAAAUAGCACUUAAAUGCUUAUCCCUUUGUAUGAAGCGACACUUUUUUGUAUCUUAUAACUUUAGGUAUUUCUUCCACUUUUUUUUACGGUUUUAUUCUUACGUUCCACCAAAUUUCUUCCACCUACAAAUUAUUUCUCUAUCUUUCUACCAUUCCCAGACCAGAUCAAAUUCAAACUGAUUUGUAGUAACGGUUCUUUCAUUUUGGAAUAUAGAACUCAAAAUCGAUAUUUUUAUUAUGAUUUUGGAUUUUCUAACUGAUUCAUAUUGAGUUUCCUAAAUAAAAAAUCCAUAAAUUACCAACAAAACUCAGCAGCAACAUAUAAACAAAUUAAAUCGAAUAUAAACUUCCAAAGGAGACAAAUUAGGCAAAACCCCAAAUAAAUUUCAAAACCCAGAAAACGAACCAAUCAAAUUUCAAAUUCGAAAUCUCAAAAUCAAAUUUUUAUCAAAAGUCUAUUUAAGGUUUUUCCUUGGGUUCCCUAUAUACUAUCAUCCUAGGGUUUACUUAUAUUGAGACAAUGGGUAUUUGUAUAAGAAAUAAUUUUUUGGGAUAAACAGAUUAAAAUUUUCUGGAAAAAAUUAGAACGAGAAGCAUAGGAAGAAAAUGAAAAAAGAAGGAAACGAUAAGAUAUUCCAGGAGCAAAAUCGUUAAACCAUCAGUUGAGAAAUACCCAUUCUUAUAAGCCAUGAUAAAUGUACAUUUUCUCAAGUUUUUAGGCUUAAAUAUGCCUAUUUGAACAAAAGCCCCCAUAGAUCAUACAAAAUUUCAAAACAAAAUGAUUCAAAAUGCAUCUUUUUCCUUGACCCAAAAUAAAUAAAAGUUUAAGUAAAUACAAUGCUAUGAGAUUUACCAUUACCUAAACCCAUCAAAUUCCACAAAAAUACAAUUCUUCACUCGAAUCUGUGAGCAUAACUUUUAUCUUCCACUUUAUUUCGUUUUCAACAACAACUAGUGCGUUGAAGCUUUUAAAUAGUGAAAGUUUCUGAUUUUUCUAUCAUAAAAUAUAUGAAAAUUGCACUCAACGGCCAUAAAAAUUUAACAAUAUGCCAACUAACAACAAAAAUCUAACAACUAUUAAAAAUAGAUGCGUUUAUGGAUAAUCUGUGACUGGCUGUAGCAAUAACGAUUAACAUAAAUUAAAAUCUACAAAAAUACAUACAAACUAUAAUUUAAAUUGAAAACCAAAAACUAUAUUAUUAUAAUAAAACUUCAAAAUUCUUAAACUAAUUAAAAAUAUUGAUUAACUUUAACAGUUUCAACCGUUUUUCCAUAUUUUGAAUGAUCUCAAAAAAAUGUAAAAACACUAUAAUUAAUCAUAAAGACGUCGGUCAAGAAACACUGCUUAAUAAUCAAAGUAUACCAAAAACUUUAGAACACUAAUUCAACAUUACAAUAAAAUAACAAAUAAAUGUGCACUAAAUUCUUUGCUUGGACUUUGGAUUUUUAAUGAUCCAUUCCAUCUAAUGGUAACAUUUCAUUUUUUUGUACUUUUAACAACUCGAAAUUCAUUUAUAAGAAGAUGAUAAAAUGUAAUUCUUCAUGUAAUUGCGAAAUUUAUUUGACAUAGGAAUAUUUAUUUGUAGAUAUCGAAAUCACUGGUAAAUAAAGAAAGAAAAACAUUCAUCUCACAUUUCUUCAAAGAGAUACCAAUCUCCAAACCACCAAUCUCAUCCCUCCUUGCCGACAUAGAAAACUCAUUGUUCUUGUAAAGAGACAUAACAUCAGUCUUAACAGGUCUUCCCCACCCGAAAUCCGACCCGUAUAUCCCAAAUUGGUUUGAUCCUGUAACAGUCACAUUCUGUGUAUCCAAUUUCAUAUUUUUUGUUCCAUCCUCAUACACUUCCCAUAUUGACUCAAUGUUUCGUGAACCCAAACCUCUAACCGAAUCACUUAAAAUCUCAACUCCGUUAACGUAUCCAUCUUUUCCUAGAAACGUUGUCGCUUUGUAUCCAUUGAAAUCAAUUGGUAAGACACAAUUCCCAAAAUAUGUCAAAGGAACCGGUGGAUCUAACCGGUUUCUGAAAUCAGCAGCAUACAUAAACCGAACCGGUCGAUUCGCGUCUCCUCCACACGACUUAACCAUGCAAGUCAACACAUAAGCGUACGAGACUACGAACGUUGAUAAAUGAAGAUCGGACCGGGUUGACUCGUUCUUGGCUCGUUCUUUAAGUUUUUCGAUAUCCACUUCCGUCAACUCGAGCGUGACCCGAACAACGUCGUUAUCGAUCUCUUUAGCCGGAGGAAGCGUUAAGGUUCUUGCAUAGUCUUUCUCCUCUGAGAUAUACGAAGAGAGCUGAAAGAUCUUUUGCUCGAGUCCGGCCGGAACAUUGAUGACCGUACGAUCUAAAACCGUAGGUAGAUCAAAAUCUUGAGGUGUGGUUCCGUGUUUACAUAUAUGAGCCCAAGAUUUAUGAAACUUUGACGCAGUUUUGCCGUCCAUGACGACAUGGUGAACUGUUGUUCCGAUGGAGAAACCUUGGUUUGGAAAGAGAGUGAUUUGUAGAGAAAGAAGAGACGCUGAGUCAGAGGAAACUUGUAACUCGGGGACAAGAGGACGUAAUUCAGUCUCCAGACGAAGUUCUUUGCUAGAGAUAUAAGAGAAGUCAGCUUCGGACUCGACCACUGUGAGAGAGACAGUGUCUUUGGGGAAGAUGACUAUGUGUGGUUUAGGAUCUUGGGGGUUCCAUUUGAGGUGACCGGAGAGUGGGAGGAAGUGGGAGAGGACGAGGGAGAGGGAUUGUUCGAGUUUGGGGAGGAUGGAAGAGAAGAAGGAGUCACGAGAUGACUCGGUGAGUUUGUAGAAGGUAACUCGCUCUAUGGGAUUGAGUUUUAGCCAUAGUAAAUCAAAGAAAGUGAGUGGGAGAACGAGUGGUUCGACUGAGUUAGUUACAAGGCUGACUCGAGAGAUCUUGAUCACGUUUAAGGCCAUCGUUGACGGAGACAAUCUCACUUGGACUCUUUUUUUUCAGACAGUUUUCAAACAGACUACUGUUUUGGUGUGCCAAAUAAACAUCUAUUCACUUAAUUAUCAAAAGCAUGGGAAUAAAAUAUGACAAUCCCACUACCAUAUGAAAGAUGCUUUUGGUAGGUAAAGAUGUUUUUUAGUUAUAUCAUACUGCAUUUCAAAACAAAAUGAUGCAAAAAAAAUUCCUUAGACCUCAAUGAUUAAAAGUUUUAGGUGAUUACAAUGUUAUGAGAUUUUCCAUUACCUAAACCCAUCAAAUUCCCUUUGAAUACAAUUUUUCACUAGAAUAUGUGCGCAUAACUUUUAUUUUCCUCUUUGUUUCGUUUUCAACUAAAACUAAUGCUUUGAAGCUUUUAAAAAUGAGAAAAAUGUCAGAAAAAAUUCCCAGUUGUGCAAAAGUAUUGAAAAACAAAAUCUUCACCUUACUAGGUGAUGAAAUAUAUAAUCAACUUUCGUUCAUUUCUAAUUAAAUCAUUAAAUUUUGUUGGUUUCUUAGUUUAAUAGUGAAAUUUAGCACUUUGCCAAAAUAGUCAAUUAGUCAUCAUGAAUUUGACUAACGAAAUAAAUUAACAUAAUUAAGUCUCGGCUGAAAAUCUUAAUAAGUGAACGUAGAUUUCAACAGAGACGUAACACUGUUAAUUUAUUUCGUCAUGCAAGCUUAACGACGUGACUAUUUUGGAAAACUGAACAAAAGUUUACGAUUAAAAUGAGAAGUCAACAAAACUUUACGAUUUAACUGAAAAAUCAGCAAAAAUUGAUUAUAUAUUCCAUUGAAGCCAAAGUUGGGGAUUUCUUUCAACAUUUUUUCACAGUUCAAGAUUUUUCCGACAUUUUUCUUUUUAAAAAUAGGGAAAUUUCUUUUUGUUUUUCUAUCAUAAAAUAUAGGAUAGUUGCACUGAACCAGCAUAAAAAUUAAAUAAUAUGCCAUCAAACCAUAAUUUUUUUAAUAACUAUUAAAAAUUUGUGACUCUUUCACAGCUUUCACAGCAGUAGCAACAAUGUUUUACAUAAAAUAUACCAAAAAUACAUACUAUGUAUAAUAUAUUUUGAGAACCCAUAAUUAUUUCCUCUAAAAAAAUUUCUUCAAAUUUGUUAAAAAGUUUUAAGAGAUUUACAACAUUUGAAUAUACAAAACAUUUUUAAUAGUUAUAAAUAUCUUUUCAUUUAAUUUAUAUAUAUAUAUAUAUAUAUUAUGUAUAUAAUAUUUAAGAAUCUGUUAUGAUAGUGUUUAACAAGAGAAAACAAUUAUUUAUUUAUUUUUAGUGAAUUAUUAUGACUAAUGUAGAUAAAAGGAAUUUUUUAAUUUUGGCGGAAAAAAGCUUUCAAAAUAUUUAGUUCAAACAAAUAUAUAGAUUUGUAGCAGUAUAAAAUGAUUUGCGUGAUUGUUGUUAAAAGCUAACAACCGUAACCGCCUACAAAACAUAAUGUUUGCUGGUAAUUGGCGAAAAACCAAUCAAGCAAAUUUAAAACAUGAAAAAAACAAAAUCAUACAUUAAACAGUGGAAAUUGGAGAGAUUUGAACUAAAAAAAAAAAAAUACAUUCCCCAUCAAAAUUAGAACUGACACCUCCACAAUUAUUAAACUAUCCAAACUUUAAAAUAUAUCUCGACUAAGAGAAAUCAAAACCUCUUCAUCGAUAUUCUCUUUCAGGCCUCCUCCGGAAAUGAUCACCUCUUAUAUCUAUACUAAGUUUUCUUCAUACUAAAAAGUACAUAUUGUCUUGCAUCAUAAGAUGAUCUUCUUAAAGAGACAAGUGCAUAUUCACUCGUUCAAGUUAGUAGAAAUCCGACUUUUCUUCUUGGGAUGGAAUAGAACACAAUCUCUCUUAAUAAUUCAUUCAGAUUUAUGGUUUUCGGUAGGGAUGUUAAAGAUGGGUAAAAGUCCAGUGGGAACCCGAAACCCGCUUAAAAUUUAAAGCCUAAAGAUCAAUGUAUUGUUAAAAAUAAAGUAGGCUCAAAACGAGCGGAUCUUAUUUACGUAGAGUUGUAUGUGGGCUUUACCCUGUCGGGUUAUGGAUAUCCAUGGACUUUUUUCCUUCUAAACUUAAUGUACUAAAACGACAUCAUUUUUUCUCUCCUAAAAUCCCUAAAUCCCCAAAUUUGGUUUCUCUACGUGUUCUUCUUCUCUACCAAUUUUAAUUCCUAAAUUUGAUUCAUCUCUAUCACUCUCUCUCUUCAAUUUGAUUUGUGAUAAACCCUAGUCUCUAGGCUCCGAAGCUCACUCUCGCCUCUCUAGGAUAAAAAAACAGAGAAGAAACUCAGAAACAGAGCAUUUGGGAGGAAGAAAACGGACCCAAUUCCCUUUGACCCACCGGUUACAAGAGUAGUCAUACCUUGAAGACUCCACCUGUUAAUAUCCAUUGUUGUGUUGUGUGUGUUACGACACUUAGUCACUAUAGCCACAAGUAUAAUCAGUUAGAAUGAUAAGUUUAACUAGAAUCUAACCCGUGGUACACCACGGAGCAAAUAUUUUAUUUAUAUAUAUAAUAAUAUUAAAUUUUACCGUUUUAUAUUUAGUAUUAAAGUUAUAUUAUUUUCUAUUAAUAGUAUAAUUAAAAAAAUUAGUGAUGAUAAAAAAAUAAAAUAAAUAUUUAACAUGUGUUAUAUCAAUCCAAACCCGUCUCCUUGUAUUUCAUAUCAAUCUAAACCCGUCCUGUUAUACUUCUCGUCUCAUGAUAUUUUAAUUUUUAUGUUUAAAUAUUAAUAAUGUUUCAUAAAAUUAAAAUAUAUCAAUAAUAUUCUUUAAAAAUAAUAAUUGUUUUUGACUUUAAUGUAAUGACAUUCUUUAUAAAUUCUUACUUUACUUCAAAAAUACUUCAAAAAGGUACUACAAAAGUACUUCAAAAAGGUACUUCAAAAUUUUUAAUAUAUAUAAUGUUAUGUUUUGGUAAAAAUUAUUAUAAAUAAAGAUUUAGUUUAAUCAUAAUUUGGGAUUGAUAUACAAUACUUGUGUUUUUGACUAUCUAUUUUUUAUUCUAAUAACCUAAAUUUAGACAUUUUGUUAAUCCUACUAUAUUAUUUGGGAAGUACAUUUUAAAUGUAACCUUAAUUUUUGUAAGUAAUUACAUAGGUAUGCCAUUAGAAAUAAAAUUUUAAAGAGUAUCUCUUUAAGGAUUAAAAAGUCAAAUACUAGUUUAAUUAAUUAAAUUUAAUUAAAAAACGAAAUACAUUAUUAAUUUCCAAAAAUAAUAACCAAUCAAAAUCAACAUAUAAGAUUUGAUAUCUAAAUUUUAAUUAAUUUAAUUUAAUUAGAAAAACGAAAUACAUUAUUAAUUUCCAAAAAAGUAACCAAUUAAAAUCAACAAAUUAUAUUUGAUAUCUAAAUUAUCAUAUUAAUUUUUUAUUAAUUAUUAUAGUUCAUUUCUCAUCUUUAUAUGAUUCUAUUUUUGCGGAAAAAUAAUAUCAUCAUUAUAAAAAAAUAAUUAGAGUUUUUUCCCAUAUGUCAUAAUUUGAAUUUUUAAAAACAAAUAUAAACUGUUCAAUACAUAAAAAAAUAUUAUAACGGAUAAAAAAUAGAUUUAAGAAAAUUUUCUACUGAGUAACGGGUCAUAAUUUGAAAUAUUUAUAUUCAAUUUCAUACAUAUUAUAUUGAAAAUUUAUAAUCUUAUAUACUACAAUAAUUAAUAACAUAUUAGAUGUGAUUCAAUUUUUAAUACAAGUUGAAAAUCCUAGAAUUGCAUGUUUAGAUCGAUAUUAAUACAAGAUGGUAUACUACAGGUGAAACUCUUAAAUUAACAAUCAAACUACAAGUGUAUAAUCUUAAACACUAAACAAUAUAGAUAAUAUCAACAAAACAUAUACAACUCACAGUUUACUAUACAUUUAAAAUCAAAUAAAAUAAUAUCAAAUAUUUUUAAAUCAUCUUUAUAAUAAAAAAAUUUAGUUUAACUAAAAUAUAUACCGCAGGUUAAUAUCUAGAUUAUAGGGCUUAUUGGAUCUAAAGACGGAUCAUCAAAGAUUUCUUAAACUGAAGCAAAAUAUAUUGAAUAUUCAAAUAUCUAUCUGUUACCAAAUUAUAAACAAAUAAGUCAAUUUAAUAUUUUAUAUACGAAAUCAAUUAAAUCUUAAUCACAUAAAAAUUAGCACAAAAAAGUAUUCAUCAAUUAAAAAAAUAUCAAAUCUCUGUGUUAUAUAAGUUUUGAUACUAUAUUCGAAUAAAGUGUAAUAUACCUUUUCAAUUUGUAUUCUUUAACUAACUUAAGCUAACUAAUAUAUUUGCUAAUCUUAUACCUAUCAAAACCGACUAUCGUUUCUUAUCUCUAUAGUAUUUUUGCAAGACUUUUUUGGUGGAUUUGGAUAAAAGUGCAUUCGGGUCAUAUGGUACAUUCUCCUAUUAAAUAAAUAUGGUGCACUCCUAUGUUAUUAUCUAAAAUAUUUACAUUCUAAUUCAGAGUCAUAUCAUUAAUAAAAUUAAUAUUAAUAAAAUUAAUAUUAACAAAAUAAAUAGCUUUUUGGCAAGACGGAUUUGGAGGGACGGAUUUUUGAAUCAACAUUAAUAAAAAAGUAAAAUAUAAUUAAUCCAUCGUUUUAAUACGGGUUAGAUCUUUAAUUUAUUAUUUUUUAAGACCACUAAUAUUAAACAUAUCAAAUCAUCCUAAUUUAGAAAAGAUUAUAUAAAACCAAAAAUGUAAUGUGGUAUGUAUAAUGUUACUAUAUAUAAAAUUAAACUAUAGAUAUAAAUGUAUUAGAGAAUGAUACAAUUUGCAAAACUUUUCUAUAUAAAAAAUUAUUCUUAAAUUUUAAAAAUUACUAUUUUAAAAAAAAAUCACGGGACGGUAAAAAAAUUACAGAACGAGUUCUAUUUUGGAAUUGGGUUAUAUGGUGGAUGUAUUUGAAUCAAUAUUUAUAAAAUUUUAAAAUAUUAUUAAUAUGCUGUUUUAAUAGGGGUUAAAACUUCAGUUUUUUAACAAUUAUCUCAUGGAUUCGUGGUAUACCGUUACUUAAUAACAAUUAUAAACUGUAUAAUAUAAAUAUUUUAUAAAAGUAAAAUUUGCAAGUUUUAAUAUAUACUACUUUUAAAAAAAAAAUCAUCCCACGGGUUACAAUCUAGUCUAUAUUAUUAAUUGGGAAGCAUUGUGUGAUUGAAGGGUAGUUUAUAACUAAUUAAAUAAAUUUUUUACAUAGGUAAUAUAGUAAUUUAACAACUAAUCCAAAACACAUUAAUGAGUUUAAUAGGCUAACAAAUAGUAUGGAUCUUUUAACACACACGCAAAAUAAUUCAAAAAUAGAAUUCAUGUUUGAAUUGAUUCGACUAAUUGUAUUUGACUACCUUGCGCACCCAACUUUAUUGUUCUUCAUGGAUGUACUUUGAAAAAUAUGCAUAGAUAAUCAUAUAUUAUUUAUAUAAAUUUGUGUUUGAACUAUAUAAUAUAAAUCGUAUAUAGUUACAAUAUGAUACGUACAAACAUAUAUAUGCAAUAUGGUUCAGUUCAUAUGGUCACAUGGAAGCUCAACUAAUAUAAUUAUAGAAAUCUGUUUCGAAUUAGAUUAGUUUGUUAUAUAAAUUAUACGGAGCAUUUUGAAUUAGAUUUGUUUGUUAUAUAAAUUAUAAAAAUCUGUAUAAAUCUAAACUAAUAUAUAUGGUAAUCAUUUAAUGCUCAAUAAUAUCCUAUUCGUUUGUUGUAAAUUCUAACAACACGGAGAAUAUUGUAGCAACAUGAAUAAUCAUUUAAUAUUUCUAACAAUUAUCAUAACUCUAAAAUUUUGGAUCAUUCUGAAAGUAAAAAACCACACACACGUUUUGAACAAUCUCUUUUUACUAAUACCAUUGCUUAUACAAAAAUGAAUGUACUUGCUUUGGUCACAGACCUUGCUAACGUAAAGCCUUUCAAAAUCGAAUGGAAAAAUCCAAGUUAAGAUUUUGUAUUCAUGGACUUAAUACACGGAAUACUCAGAAGAAACCAUGGAAAUGAUCCUACCUGAUAAAAAUGUAAGUAUUGAUUUUCGUUUAAAUCUAGGUUAUAUCAGGAUUGUAUCUUUUAUAUUAUUAACACAAUUGUAUUUCACUAAUUUACUAAUUUACAGGGAACUUUGAUACAUGCUACUAUUAAGAAACAACAUAUGAGAGCACGCAAAACCAAACUAUUUAUAUAAAUAAAACACUAAUAAAUGAUGCAAAAAUUGUUAAACUUUAAAUAACUAAAAUUUCUAUUCAAAUUUUAAAACUAAGAAACAGAAAAUAAACGUGUAAACCAAAGUAAUUUUAAGAACAAAAGAAAAAUUUCCAAUGAAAUAUUACUAUUAUGAUAUCUCUGCUACUAUAUAAUUCACUAACCCAAAAUAAAAUAAAAUCUUAACUAAAAGUUUUUGCAAAAAAUAUUGUUUUUACAUUACCUUCCAUACAUCUUAUUUUCAAAUAUUAUGAUAACUGAUAAAUUUAUGAUAUAUAUACUAUUAUAUAAUUCACUAACACAAAAAAAUUAAUACAAACUUUUAUCAAAACCAUAUGAUAAUACUUAUAACUCGCAUAUUGUGCGGUUCACAACAUUAGCUAUUGUAUCAUAAAUAACAAUUAUACACUUUUCUAUGCACAUUAUAAUUUAUAUAUUACAAUAUCUUUCACUAAAAAAUUAUUCCAAUACAUUUCUUAAAAUACGAAACCCCGCACGUACGUGCGGGUCAGAAUCUAGUAUUAUUUGAAUCAGCAAUAUCAACUUAAUACAUGUACAAUUUAUUUAUGCCAAAAAAAAAAACAAAAUUAUUUUGUACAAUUGCAAAUUUAAAACGAAAAAUAUGGAUUGAGAUAAUUUGGGUUUCAAUUUUUUAUUACGUAAUUAAAUUUUUAAUGAAAAUAUUAAAGCAUAUAUUGUAAUAUAAGAUUUGAUUCAUUUUAUUAACUGAAAAUAAAUGAUUUAAAACAAAAAAUCAGGGUGAUUAAUGCUAAUUGGAAAGAUUUAAAUGUUUUUGUGAUUUUUUUUUUAGUUUCCUAAACUUUAGUAACAUAAUAGAUUUUAUAUUUAGAUUUAAAAAUAAGUUUAGUAAAACAAUAAAUGUCGAUGGCAUGCCAUUAUAAAUCAGUGUCAGGAUUUAUUUAUUAAAGUGGCUGCAAAAAUGUAUAUGUAGAUGACGCUAAAUAUAAAUAUAUUCAGAAAAUACAGAAAAUGAAUACAAUUUAAAAUAUAUCUCUAUAUAAUUCGAGUACUUACAGAUAGUUUCAAAACACAUGGAUUUUUGGGAUUUUACCCACAAGUUCUAAAAUCCAUUCGAGUUUUUUUAAAAUUUGAGAUUUUUAUGGGUGGGUUCAAUUUGGGUUAGGGCUGGACUGUUUUUUUUUACCACGACAACAUCCCUAGCUUCCGGAGAUGUCACUAAACUUCAUGUCCAAUUCUGGUGGAAACUUUAGUGAAAAUUGGUGGAAACUUGGGCUAAUGGGUACAAAGAAGAAAGUCUCAUGAAUCAAAUCAAGACUGUAUUGAAUAAAUUAUUUAUCCGAAACGGGUCUAGAUCAUAUUAUUUCACAUCUUACUGUAAUGAUUGACUUUAAAGAAUAUAGAUCAAAAACCUAUAGUAUCACACACAUAAUACUCCAAAAUCAUUUAAAAAUAAAACCAAAGGAAUGUUAUUUUUAUUUAUAGAAAUUCUAAUAAAUCACCAAAAAUUUAUAGAAUUCACAUAAAUCCCACCAAUCUAAAAUCCACAAAAUCUUUGAAUCACUCUUUCAAUACAAAGUGUGUAUUACACAUAACUUUUUCAACUUUACAUUCAAAAUAUACACCUAACUACUUUACCAAAAUCUUUAAAACACAAAUAUAUGACAUACAAUGAUACAAAUAUAACGGAUAAAUCUGCAUUAAAUUCUUUGCUUGGACUUUGGAUUUUUUUUCAUGCCCCAUCGAAUGAAUUCAAGAUACAGAUUUUUCCUUUUAACAACUGAACUCACUUAUUUAGAAGACGAUACAAUGUAAUGAUCAUUUAAAUCCAGAUUUAACUUUCAAUUGUCAAAUCCAUUACUAAAUAAAGAAAGGAAAACAAUCAUCUCACAUCUCUUCAAAGAGACCCCAAUCUCAUCCCUCCUCGCUGACAUAGAAAAGCUAUUGUUCUUGUAAAGAGACAUAACAUCAGUAUUAACUGGUCUUCCCCACCCAAAAUCCGCCCCAUAUAUCCCAAACUGGUUCGACCCGGUAACAGUCAAUACUUUUGUACCAACCUUCAUGUUUUUAGUUCCUUCCUCGUACACCUCCCAAACUGACUCAAGACUUCGUGAACCCAAACCUUUGACCGAAUCACUUAAAAUCUCAACACCGUUGACGAAUCCAUCUUCUCCCAAAAAGGUCGUCGCUUCAUAUCCAUUAAAAUCAAUUGGUAAAACACAAUUCCCAAAAUAUGUUAAAGGAACCGGUGGAUCUAACCGGUUUCUAAAAUCAGCAGCAUAAAUAAACCGAAUCGGUCUAUCCACACUGCCCCAUGCGCCUUAAUCACACAAGUCAACACAUAAGUGUACGUGACGAAUGAUCAUUUCUUGUGUCCUUUUUUGGGACAACUAAUCUGCAAAACCACUUUAGAGUCUUCAUAUCCCCUUUGAGUUAAUGAUUUGUGUUAAGACGAAUUUAUCCCUGUAAUUUAUUUUGAAUGAAUAAUUAGAAUAAUUAAUAGAAAACAUUUUGAAAAAAAAAAAAACGGAAAAAGAAAAAAAAAAAGCUCGAGCACGAGCUCGACUUCUUCUUCGGGAUUCUUCCUCCGGCGAGCUCCGGCAAGCUCCGGCGAGCCGCAUUGUCGUUUUUCUCCUCCUGCAAGCUGCAUCAAUCUACUAAGUCCAGGUAUGAAGAGAGCUUCAAAAGCUUUGAAUUACAUAUUUUGAGGAUUUUGAGAUUCAAUCCAAUUAGAUUUGGGUUAUUGUGUUUUAGCACCUAUAUUAGAAGUUUAAGUAUAGAUUUAGGCUUCAUUUGGUCUGUUAAUGGGUAAGCAAUUGAUUUCACAUGCUGAUUCAUACUAAAUUGAACUCAAAUCGAAUAUUUGUUCUUGUCGCGAAAAUAAUACUGGUCGAACUAGCUAUAGUAGUACCGUAAUUUAUAUAGAUAGUAUGUUUUAAUAGCACCAAUAUUACUUAAACACGUAGUAUUUCAUAUAUGUAAUAGUAUUACUCACACAUGUAAUAUUUCAGAAUUAGUACUAGUAUUACUGUAAAUGUACUAGAAUCGGUAAUACUAGUAAUAUUGACUGAGUAUGUGUAUUGUUUUGGCAGGUUACAAUGAAAGAGAACAUGAUCAUAUAUUUUAAAUUCCAAGGUCGCAUGUAUAAUGUGAUGAUGAAGAGAUUAAGGGAGAAGAUUACUCUCUCAGUGUUAGAAGAUAGGAUAAUGACGAAGCUUGGAUUAGAUGCAAAUAAGGUAAAAUUGCAUAUGAGGUACAAUCCACGGUUGUUCGGAGUAGAGGAAGAAAUGAACGUUUGUGAUGAUGAGGAUGUCUUUGUUUAUGUAACAUCCGCAAAAAAUAAUCGGAGAAGUGUUUUGGUUGUGGAGGAGAUCUCUAAACCGCCCGAGCCGGGGCAAUUGCCCGAGCAAUUGUCUAGAGUUGGUAAAAGUUCUGUUGGUAAGAACUAUACGGAGUUGAAUUCAGAGGAGGAUGAAAUGAGAGUGGAUGAUGGUGCACUCAUCGUCUUAUUAGAAGAGGAACAAGGAACUCAACAUCAACUUGAGGCAAUAGUGGAGGAUCACGGGACUCAAUAUUAACUUGAGGCAAUAGUGGAGGAUCACGGAACUCAACAUCAACUUGAGGCAAUAGUGGAGGAUCACGGGACUCAAGAAGAUGAAACACGCUAUGAUGAGUCUAUGGAUAAUUCUGAUAGGGGGGAACAGUAUGUUGAGUCGCCACCUGCUGUAGAACCGGGUAUGUUUAAAAAAGAAUGGGAAGACGGAAUUGGGUUGACCUUACGUCAAGAAUUUCCAAACAAGGCGGCAUUGCACGAGGUGGUGGAUUGAGCUGCAUUUGCUAACAGUUUUGGUUAUGUGAUUAAGAAGUCGGAUAAGGAGCGCUAUGUCCUAAAGUGUGCCAAAGAGAGCUGUUCUUGGCGUUUACGAGCGUCCAAUAUCAGUAAUACUGAUAUAUUCUCGAUUAGAAGGUACAAUAAGAUGCAUAGUUGCACUCGGCUAAGUAAAGGUAGUAGUAGGCUCAGGAAAAAAAACGCAACCCACAAUUAGUCGCAGCUCUCCUUCAUGAUCAUUUUCCGGGAUAGUUGGAAACUCCGGUUCCAAGAAUUAUCAUGGAGCUAGUUCAGACGAAGUUAGGUGUGAAAGUAUCAUACUCGACAGCGCUAAGGGGGAAAUAUCAUGCGAUUUAUGAUUUAAAAGGUACCCCGGAAGAAAGCUACAAGGAUAUCAAUUGUUAUUUAUACAUGUUGAAGAAGGUAAAUGAUGGUACAGUUACUUAUCUGAAAUUGGAUGAGAAUGAUAAAUUUCAGUACGUAUUUGUAGCUUUGGGAGCUAGCAUUGAAGGUUUUAGAGUGAUGAGGAAAGUUUUAAUUGUGGACGUAUUCGUAGCUUUGGGAGCUAGCAUUGAAGGUUUUAGAGUGAUGAGGAAAGUUUUAAUUGUGGAUGCAACACAUUUGAAGAACGGAUAUGGCGGAGUGCUAGUGUUUGCCUCGGCUCAAGAUCCUAACCGUCACCAUUACAUCAUAACGUUUGCCGUACUCGACAGUGAGAAUGAUGCUAGUUGGGAGUGGUUUUUCGAGAAGCUAAAAACGGUUGUACCCGAUACUUAAGAAUUGGUUUUCAUGACGGAUAGAAAUGCAAGCCUCAUAAAGGCCAUACGGAACGUGUAUACCGCGGCUCAUCACGGGUAUUGUAUUUGGCAUUUGUCCCAAAAUGUGAAAGGUCAUGUUACUCACACCAACCGAGACGUACUCGCAUGGAAGUUUCAGGAGUUAAGUCGGGUCUACGUCGUGGCGGACUUCAACCGAGCGUAUGACGGGUUUAAGUUGAGAUAUCCUAAGGCGACCAAGUAUUUGGAGGAUACAACCGUGAAAGAAAAAUGGACAAGGUGUUGUUUUCCCGGAGAAAGAUACAACUUAGACACAAGCAAUUGUGUGGAAUCUUUGAACAAUGUGUUUAAAAACGCAAGGAAAUACUCGUUAAUACCAAUGCUUGAUGCGAUCAUCAAAAAAAUCUCCGUUUGGUUUAAUGAACAUCGGAUGGAAGCCGCGUCUGGAUCUUUAGAAAAUAAGAUGGUGCCUUUGGUCGAGAAUUAUUUGCAUGAUUUGUGGGUUUUUGCCGAGAAUAUGUAGUCACAUGCGACAAAGGAAUAGAUUAUACGGUGAGCUUGCUUUUGAAAACUUGCAGUUGCAAGGUUUUCGAUAUCCAAAAAUAUCCUUGUAUUCAUGCAUUAGCCGCUUUCAUUAACAUUAUGGAUGAUGAAGAUCGGAGAAGAGGUUUGGAGUUACAUGAUUUGGUUACAAAAUAUUAUUGGGCGGAGUUGUGGGUAUUGGCCUAUUAUAGGACUAUUUAUCUUGUUCCGGAUAGGUCGCAGUGGGAAAUACCAGAUGAAGUAAAGGCGUUGAAGAUAGUUCCGCUGUCUAAAAAACCGAAGAAAGGAAGGAAAAAUAUGCUAAGGUUUCCAUCAACCGGGGAAAAGCAGCCAAAACGACAAAGGACGCAAAACAAAAGGCGUCCAAGGCAAUCGUGUCAAUGAUUAUUAUUUGGGAAUACGCCUAUCUGAGUUUUUUACUUUGUUUCUGCAGUGAUUUGUUGUUUUUAUGGUAUGGACUUACUAUGUAAUACUGUAUUUCCCCUUUCUGUAAUACUAUGUCUGUUUCUAUUGUUUUUUUGUAAUAUUGGUUAUAACAAGUAAUAUCAUGUCUGUUUCUGUCGAAUUUGUGGUCAUAUUAGUACUACUGGUAAUACUAAGUUGGUGUUAUGGAGUUCGAAUUUGUUUACCUCAAAACUCAAUGAAAAUGAAUACAGUGAGUUAUAAACAGAUAAAAAUGUAUUAUUAAUCAUUUAUACUUAAUUAAGUUAGAAAUUUUAAUAUUAAAUCGUUUUAACUUAUUUUUAGUAGACUCAAUACAACAUAUCCCUUAUACUUUUAAGCUCACUUUUAAUAUUAUCACCAACUUAAAAUGAAAAAUUCACAUUGCUACAUAUAUUUAAUUUAUAAUUGCACAAAAUAUUUAAACCUCUAUAUUUAUAAAGUUCAAUCUAGUGUACUACUAAAUAAACAAAUUGUAAAUAUAGGAAAUACUGCUAAACAUGAAAAACAUGGAAAGUAAUACUAUUUGAGAAAUUGGCACUACCAAAACCUUAGAAAAUACUAUGCUGUAAAAAGGCUGCGCACAUGUCAAAAAUCUCCAAAAAACGGCGCACACGUGGGGAAUUAAUUUUUUUGGUUUUCCCCCAAAAUUUUUGGCGCCUAACAAAUUUUGAGAUUCCCUCCAAAACCAAAAAUUUCACUUUUUUCUUUUUCCUCUUUCUUUUUCGAUCUUUUCUUACAACUUUCUUUCAUCUCUCAUCUCUCUUCUCCCACAUCUCUCAUCUCUCUCUUCGACUCGAAUUCUCUCACAUCUCUCAUCUUUCUUUCAUCUUUCUACCAUGGAUAGACUGUGUGAGAGAGACCCCUACUACGAUGAUAUGAAAGUGGCGAAGAGAGCCAUUGAGCAAAUGGAAAUGGUUGCGAUGAUGGAAGGGAUUCCUAAGUUUUGUCCAUGCGGUGGUAGCAUUGUCGACACUCGAAAGGAUGAAAAGAGAUACUAUCAAUGCGAGAAGUUUAAGGUAUGUUGAUGUAGAGCACAAGUUUUUCAAGUUUGUGUAGAUCUAGAUCUAGAUAUAUUUGGUAUUUCAGAGUAUUUCCCGUUAUGGUAAUACUGCCUAGAACAAGUAAUACUGCACAAGUUUUUCUAGGUUUUGUAGAUCUAGAUCUAUAUUUGAUAAAUAUUUGGUACUUUGUAGGAUGAUAGAACUGAUUGUAUGCACAUCCGUAAACUUUGGGAUAAGGCUAUGGAAGAAGAGGUGAGUAGCUUAAGGGAGAGUGUUGAUUACAAUCGGAAGAAAGUUCUAAGUCAUGAGUAUCUCAUAGAAGAAAUGCAAAAAGAAUUGAAAGCCCACCGUGCAGAGAUUGUGAACGUGAGCAAAGUGUUAUUCCGUAAUCCUAUGGCUCCAAAGAAGUAAUGUGUUAUCCUAUUGUUCCUUAAUCUUAUUGUUAAUUUGCUUGUAAGACUUUCCCUAUGCUUUGUAAGACUUUCUGUAUGCUUUGUAAGACUUUCCCUUCGAUUGUAAGACUUCUCUUUGAUUGGUAAUACUAUGGUUGUUCAGUUUGAUAUUUCCAGUAUAUCUCUUAGUAGUAAUAGCACGAGGUAUUUCCCGUAUUUCAGUUAACAAUAUCAUAAAACAUCCUAAUACAUUAAUUGAAUACAAACAUAGUUUUACGAGUACUUGCGAAAUCCUAAAACAAAGUCAAAGUACAAGAAAUCAAAAUACAAAUCCGGAGAAGUUACACGAAUAGUUUUCACACGUUACUAGACUUUGCACGGGUUGAACGGGUCACUCGUUUGGGCACAACAGGAGCAGCCGCAUUUUCCUUAAUUGUUGAUUCCUCCUCAUCUGGUGGGUUCUGAGACAUCUACAUUGUUAAUUUAGUUAAACCUUGGUAUUACGCGAUAUUACCAAUUAUGGAACAGUAUAUCCGGUAUUACCCAGAUUUACCUUGGCUUUCAUCUCAUCCAUAAAUGCUUCGAACGUUGCUUGUUUUUCCUCUAUUUCCAUAAGCACCAACAAAGCUUCAUUCAGCUUAUCAUUGAUGGAAUGGAGCUUCUCCAUUACAUCAACUAACGUCGGGUCUCCCGGUCCAACAGCUGUGGGAACUUCCUCUUCAUUUGGGGCUUCCAUUCGUGCCUGCACAUCCUCGUUGUACACCUCCUCAAAUCUAAUUUCACGCCCUUGACCAAGACGCUUCAUCCAACUAUCAACUACAACAUCGUGCUUAUCAACAUCAUCCUCUACUCCCGUGAUUUCAGCCAAAAGAGGUACUUCUUCAGCCUUCUCUCUAAUUAUACUCUCAAUGACCUAUGGAAAUAAUAGACAAUGAAAUAUUAGAAAGAAAUAAAAUCAUAUUUGCUCAAGGAAUAAUAGGAAAUACUAACCUCAGUUGUUCCGAGUACAUGGUUGAUUUGCUCAAGGGUAAAUCCUUUCAUCUCGAUCCUCUUGAAAUUCACCUUGCACAUCCUUUGACAACCGGCAUGUGCACCCUCUUUUUCUUCUAUGAAUCUUUCCCUAAGUGAUGGAAUGGCUUCAAAUGCUAAAAACUACACAAACCACAUGAAAUUUAAUUGUUAGCUUCAAUUACGAAAAUGUAACAAGGAUAAAACAUGUGACUUACCUCAAGCGGCACACAGAAUCCGGGAACAGGCCAUGGUGACUGAGUGUUCGGGACGACACCGUUAAAAUGAUCCAAUUUGUGUGAGAUCGAUUUUAACAUGUACUCAAAUGAAUAUCUCCCCGAUGGAAAUAUCUUACAAAACGUAAGAUCACUUGCAGACCUCACACAGAAAUCAUCAAUUGGACUAGCCCUUUCUCCGGUCUUAGUAGGCAUGACAAUGAUGCUAGUUAGAAAAUAGAGGGCCGCCAUCCGCAACCUAUCCUUUGAUCUAGCCGGUUCCAUCUCCAUUAGCUUGGUUUUCACGUCUUCACGUCUAAUUACCCCGGUUUUGAAGUACCUGUUGGCGAAGUUCAUAUUACCAGCACUCUGAUAACUAGCUGGAUAGGCCUUGCAGUUGAAACCAGAGAUCAAAGCAUGCUCCCUAAUACCAUAGCGGAUGGGAACUCCAUUAACAACGAACCAAACCUCCUUCUUCUUCUCAAUAGAUGCCGUUCGAAGAAAAAGCAUCCACAUCCGCAUUAACUUGUGGGUAUAUCCGGAAGGCAGGUGGUAGAUGUGCUUGAAACUCGGAUGCUCCAUAAAAUAAUUCUUCUCAACAUGCGUUAGAGGAUGUUCCAAGUCAGCGAAGGUCUUCAACACCUCCGAGAUAUAACACCUCGUUGCUAACUUCAUCUUCUUGGGAUACUCCGACACCGGGAAGUACAUACCAAGUGGCUGCAUUGCCAUCGCUUCCUCCAUAUCCUGAAAGAAACAAACAUUCAUUCAUAUAUCACUCAAUUGUAAAUAGUACUGCCACAGUAUUACUCUGUAUUUCCAAAAGUAUUCCCCGAAAUUACCAGUAUUACACAAAUCCUACUAUUCAUAUAUCACUCAAUUGUAAAUAGUACUGCCACAGUAUUACUCUGAAUUUCUCAGAAGUAUUCCCCGUAAUUACCAGUAUUACACAGAUACUCCUAUUUUACUAUGUAGUAUUUCUCAAAGUUACUAGUACUAACUAUCGAUAAAUCACAAUUGUAGUAUUACUCUAAGGUAUUACCCACAUCCGCCAAUAUUACCUAAAUAUCAACAUAGCAUUUCCCAAUGUUACUAGUACUGUCCACAGUUCACAAUUGCAUUAUUACCCAAUUAGAUCGGUAUUACGAAAUGGAAUACUUACCACAUUUGCGAUGUCCUCGUCUAUGGUCCUCUCCUCCCCGGAUUUUUCCACUAUCACGUCCUCGUCUCUCUCGUCCUCGUGUCCCUCAUCCUCCACGGACUUUUCCACAUUGACGUCCUCGUCGCUCUCAGAGCUCCUCUCCUCCUCCUCCUCGAUAACGGUUAGGCCGUCAUCUUGUCUCUCCGCCUCUUCCACGGGAUUAGCACACGCGAGUUCUUUGUUUGUCUCCGUCUCCUCUGAAUCGGAAUCGGAGCCCAAGGUUCGGCUACUACUCCCUGAUUCUUCUUCUUCACUUGCUUCUUCUUUUCAUUUUCAUCUUCCACCUCAUCAGUUUGCAUAUUCUCUUGAAUUUCUUCAGCAGGAAUAUGCUUCAGAGCAUCAUAAAACGUAGAAUCAUCAAGCAUCGGGCUCUCCGUCGUUGGAGCCGUCGUUGGAGCCGUUGUCGUUGGAGCCGCUGUCGUUGGAGCCGCAUUGGUUGCCAUCGCCGUCGCAGUCGUUUGUGUUGGCGACUGCUCCUCAGCCGGCACUUUCUCUUUAUCUUUCUUCGCCGGCGCCUGAACCUUCGCUUUCUUCGCCGGCGCCUGAACCUUCGCUUUCUUCGACGGCGCCUGAACCUUCGCUUUCUUCGCCGGCACCUUCUCCUUCACUUUCUCCGCCGGCGCCUUCCUUCACUUUCUCCGCCGGUGCCUUAACUUUCUCUGUCUUCGCCGGCGCCGACGCUUCUAUCUCAUUUCUUUUCCCUUGACCUCCUCCACGCGUCUUAGGCGGCAUGACUGAUUUCGAAUCGGAAAUAGAACGGAAAUACUGGUGAAAGGAAGAAGAACGAUCGAUUGAAUUUAAAGAAAUAGGGAAUGUUGCGGUUAAUUUCAGCGGUUACUAAGGAGAAGAAGAAGAAAAAUCAAAAACGGUUGUAAUGAGAAAAAGAAUGAAAUUCGAAUUGGGAAAUCCCUGGAAAUAUUAGAGUUUUUCUUAUUUGAUUUUCAAAUAAAGAGUAAAGGUGGUUCGGGUGGUUUGGUUCGGAAACGAACCAUGAUUUUUCUGGUAAUUAAUAGGUUCGGAUGGGGAUAUACUAGUAAUAUCCAUAUAUUUCGAAUUAAAAAAAAAAAAAAUUAUUUCUGUUUUUUACAAGGAUUUUUUGGCUUCCUCUUUGCAAAAAAGGGACUGGCCAGAUGAUUUUUCGUACGUGACUACAAACGUUGAUAGAAGAAGAUCGGACCAAGUUGACUCGUUCUUGGCUUGUUCUUUAAGUUUCUUGAUGUUCGCUUCACUCAACUCGAGCGUGACCCGAACCACGUUGAUGUUCUCUUUAGCGGGAGGCAGCAUUAAAUUUCUUGCAUUGACUUUCUCCUUUGAGAGAUAUGGCAAGAGUUGAAAGAGUUUUGGUUCGAGUCCGGCCGGAACAUUGAUGACCGUACGAUCUAAAACCAUAGGUAGAUCAAAAUCUUGUGGUAUGUUCCCGUGUUUACAUAUAUGAGCCCAAGCUUUGUAAAACUUGGACGCUGUUUUGCCGUCCAUGACGACAUGGUGAACUAUGGUUCCAAUGGAAAAGCCUUGGUUUGGGAAAAAAGUGAUUUGUAUAGACAGAAUCGAUGCUGAGUCAGAGGAAACUUGUAACUCGGGGACAAGAGGACGUAAUUCAGCCUCCAGACGAAGUUCUUUGCUAGAGAUAUAAGAGAAGUCAGCUUCGGACUCGACCACUGUGAGAGAGACAGUGUCUUUGGGGAAGAUGACUAUGUGUGGUUUAGGAUCUUGGGGGUUCCAUUUGAGGUAACCGGAUAGUGGGAGAAAGUGUGAGAGGAAGAGGGAGAGGGAUUAUUCGAGCUUGGGUUGGAUCGAGGAGAAGAAGGAGUCACGAGAUGACUCGGUGAGUUUGUAGAAGGUGACUCUCUCUGUGGGAUAAAGUUUUAGCCAAAGUAAAUCAAAGAAAGUGAGUGGAAGAACGAGUAGUUCGACUGAGUUAGUUGCAGGGCUCACUCGAGCGAUCUAGAUCACGUUUAAGGCCAUCGUUGACGGAGACAAUCUAUCUUGGGCAGUCUUCGAACAGACGAGUGUUUGGUGUGUGCCAAAGUAAAACUUUAUUCACCAAUUAUCAAAAGCAUAUGAAAGAUGCUCAGGGUAGGUAAAGCCCACUACAGGAAAAUUGAGUAUUCUUAGCGGUCGAAUAAGCUAUCUAACGAGAUGAUAGCGGAGUAGAAAGCGCUAUAUCUUCGUCCAUGAUAAUAGGUCGAUGACUUCUAAUAGCAGUUUUAAGUAGUGCUAUAUUUUGAUUAUAUAUUAUAGCGUGUUCUUUUUGCAAUUUAAUAUUAUUUAAUAAUGAUUAUAUUUUGUUAUUAAUUAUUAAAUAACAGUAUUUAAUAUAUGCAAUUUAAUAAAUUGGAAUAACAUUUAUAAUAUGCAAUUUAUUCAAUUAAAAUAGCAUUUAUAUAUAUGCAAUUUAUUCCACUAAAAUAGCUUUUGUAUUAUCAUUAUUUCGGUUUGUUAUAUUUGUAAUUAUAUAUUAUUUUAAUUUAUGAGGUUUUUUGGAUAAAUUGAGUAUUGACAUAUAAAUAUAUUAUAUUUUAUUACAUUAUAUGAAAUCAUAACACAAAAACAAUAUAUUACAAAGUAUAUACAAAUUUUUUUUAAAAAAAAGUAAAAGUACAUAUAUUAGUAGAAACUCUUAUAUGAACUAGAUGAGUACCCGCACUACGUGCGGGCUUAUGUAGUUUACGACUCUUAAAGUUAUUUUUAUUCAAUAUUAAAUUAUCUAUUCCUAUAAAAUUGAGAGACUACCACAUAAACCUUGUGUAGAAAUGUAACACAUCAACAAGGUUAACAUAAACCUUGUGUAGAAAUGUAACACAUCAACAAGAUUAGCAUCUGUUCUUUUGAUGCUUCCGGCCUUUGACAUCUUUGUCCGUUGUUUUAUUUUUAACCUAUCCAAUUCGUGUUAUAAAUCCAGUGUUUUGUGUAAUUUGAAAUUUAGAUGUUUAGGCAAAUAGAAUACCUUGAAGAGCAAGCCUUCCCACCGUUAUAUUCUCCUUUGCCGCAUCACCAUCGUCAGGAUUGUCACCAUUGCUCUCGUCCUUGGUCAUGAUAUAUUAAUAAUUAAUCAAUAGAUAAAUAUACCUCAGUUUCUUCUCCUCCAUCUACAUGUAGCACAUGUUAAUGAUUGUAGUUGAUUUUGUUCUUGCAAUCUGAAAAAAGAAAACAUAUGAAUAUAUGAUGUUAGUUUACUCUUACAAUCCCAAGAAAUAAUUUAAAAGAGAUUGAAAAGUAAGACAUGCAUGUAUUUAUAAUUUUAUAUGGGAGCUAAUUAAAUAUUUACGUUAUGUAACAUAUAAGUGGAUAUGAUUAGAAGUUUAAAAGUUAUUAAAAAUUAAAAUGAAAUUAAUACCAAUAAGUUGUAUACAUCAUGCUCUUGGGGAAGUUUGGAUAAGAAUAGUUGGGUAUUUGAAACGUCCAAAUAUUAUUCAUGAAUCAUGAAUAGUUGAGUACUUCGUAAAUGCAUAAUCGUGGAUAUGAGAUUUUAUGUAGAUUAAAUCCUGGCUUUACUUAGAGCUGAUUAAUUAUUUAUUUGUUUAUUUUAAUAGGUACACGUGGCGAGCUAUUAGAUGCUGACGUGUCAAGCAGAUGGAGAAAGAUAGCCUCCUUUCAUAUAUAUGAUUCAUCUUGUAAACCUCACUGUAAACAUGACACCAAUUUUCGCUGCAUCCAACACACACAAAGCCUUUAUCCUGCAAACACCAAAUUCUCAUUAACACUGAUAAUAGGUUUUUAAGAUCAAUUAAUCCUAAAGCACUAUCAUGUUGUUGUAGUACUGAAGGUUGUCAAUUCAAAUGGGUAUGAUGCUAACAAUCAAGAUGUGAUCAGAAGUCACUAAGUCAAGCCAAGCAAUAACAGGUUUUGGUGUGUUCUAGCAGUCCUAAGUGAACAUGCAGAAAACAGAAAAUCAAAUAGAAACAGUAAAACACUCGACCAACACAGCUCUUUGCAGAGCACUGGGUGAGGUCGAGUAACAGACAGAAAGUAUAACACAGAUACUCGACUGCACAGUCUGUUGCCAGACAACUGGGUGGUCGAGUAUGAGGUCGAGUAACAAGAAAGAAUUGUAGAAAUUAAGCAACAAAUGACAAGAUGCAGUAAACAACAGUAAAGUAAACAAAGAAUUCAAUCAGAUAAAGAAUUCCCGAGGAUGGGGUAAUUGAGUAGUUUCGUUUCCUCAGUUUACAAGUGAUUGUCAUGCUCAAUAAAUUGUCCCUAGACAACAAGUUCAUUAACCAAAUCUAAGUGCCACCGCAACAGAGACCCUCAAGUUAACCUAGUCCCAGACUCAAUCACCAUUGACGAGAGCUAACCUAACAUGCAUUACGAAUCAACAAGUUAAAGCCAAAACGCUCUCUGCAUCCAAUACCUUGGUACAUGGCCACGAAUCUCUGGAAUUAGUGGUUCAGACAUUUCAUCGAACACCUUUUGGGCGCGGAGAUGUCUGGGCUCAAAUUCCAGUUGAUCAGAAAGCAAUAAGCAUUAAGAACAACUAAUCCAGAAGGGAUCUAUCAAUCAAUACUCAACCACCUAGCAUACUAAGAAUUCUACACUUACUCUAACCCAUCCUCAGAAACCUAUUCACUACUCAGACAUCAUAGCAGAAAGCAUAAACGUUGAACAAGUUGAAAACAUGAUAACAACAGUGUAACAACAGGAUGAUAACAGAAUGAACAACAGUAAACUAAAAUCAAGAACAAAUACUGAAUACUUAAUAGAUAAAGAGAAAUCCGGAUUACAAAAGGUCUAGAACACAGUGUCUGCAGAAUAAAACUAGAUAAAAACUUGUUUGCGAAAAUGUGAAGUACAUGCUACUUAUAGCCAAAUAUUCUGAAACCCUAAUACUUAAAACGACGCAGUAUUGGGACGGAUUAAGAACUGUACUCGACCCAUGUGGUCGAGUGGGAGGUCGAGUGAAUAGCUGGAGUCUUCUUUUCUUCCUUGUUCUCGAGUGUUUGGUUGAGUACGGAAUGAAGAAGACUCUGAAGCUUGCCAGCGAGUGUGUAGUCGAAUGGUGGUGAUGGUGAUACUCGACUUCCUGGUAGAGUGAUGUGGUCGAGUGAUGAUCAGGUAAUGGAGGUGAAGACACUCGACCUCGGGGUCGAGUGAUGUGAUCGAGUGGUGGUAAGGUGAUGGAGAUGAAGACACUCGACCUCGUGGUCGAGUGGUGAGGUGAAGUGGUGAUGUCCUCUACUCGACCAGGGGGUCGAGUGGUCUGCUGAGGUUGUGAAUCGUCUACUCGACCUAGGGGUCGAGUGGUUUUGCAUGAUCAGGUCCGCUUCUUCCAAUUAGCUCGUCAACAACUCCGAAUCACCUGAAAACAACACAAAUAUGCAACAUGCAUGCAAAACUAUCCUAAACAUGCAAAGUGAUGACAAAUGAUGAGAAAUGAUAUAAAAUAGUGAUGAUAUGAUGCUAAAGUGAUGACAAAUGGAUGCUCAAAACAUGCAAAAUACACACUUAUCAAACACCUCACAUCAAUUUCUUAAAGUACCAAUUCUACUUAAUCUAGACAUUUGCGCCAAUUCAAAUUACAGAAAUAUAUAAUUCUCAGAUCCCACUAGGCACUAGUUAUGGCCUCAGACAAAUCCAAGUAACAUAAUGUUGUAAAUCUUUGUUUUCAUAUUUCUCAUUGUCUUACACAACAUCACUACCACAUUUAAUUAACAAAAAAAAUUUAUAGAAGAAAAUAAGACAACAACUCUUUAACCACUACACAACCAUUCCCACUAGACUUACUUAACUCUUAAACUUAGUUUAGUCUUUACUUAAAAAAAUAAAAUACAAAUUGAUGCAAAAGAAAACCAAAGAAAACAGAUUGCUUGUCAAACAAGCAAAACAAAUUUUGAUGAAAAUAACUGAAGAGCUUGAGAGGAAGUUUUUUUUUUCUCACUUAAAGAUUUUCAUUAUAUAAUACAUCGGAGAAAUAUAUUUUUGGGAUGCGUUUUUGAAAUACAAAAGCCGGGGCAAAACAAAAAUAUCUCCGAAAGAUAAAGCCCGAUACACCGGAAACAGAAGGAAAUAUACUAAAGUCAAAAAGAAAAGCUCUCGAAAUCAUUAGAAAAGUCGGAGGAGAACAAUAACUGCGGGAUUAAGAGCUUAAAGGUCAAAGUCUAGAAAACCCACAAUCGCGGAAUUUAGAGCUCAAAGGUCUCGAACAUACCUAGCAAUCUCAAAUAUGAGUCUCCUUCUUAGAUUUGAGUAUAGCAUGUUGAUUUCGGAUGAGUAAGAUUCAAAGAAACUAGCUCAAUACACACAAUUGGACAAGCAAAAGCCACAAAUAAUCAUUCAAUUGUAAAUUUAGAAUCUUGACACCAUUGACAAACCCAUAUUCCCACAAAAAUGCCAUCGAAAAACAUUCAUCUCACAUUUCUUCAAACAUAUACUAAUCUCCACACCACCUAUUUCAUCCCUCCUCGCUGACAUAGAAAACUCACCGUUUUGGUAAAGAGACAUCAUUUAAGUGUUAACCGGUCUUCCCCACCCAAAAUCCAAUCCAUAUAACCAAUAUUGGUUUGACCCGGUAACAGUUAAUACUUGUGUACCCAACUUCAUGUGUUUAGUUCCUUCUUCGUACACUUCCCACAAUGACUCAACACGUCGUGAACCCAAACUUUUGAUGGAAUCACUUAGAAUCUCCACGCCAUUCACAAACCCAUCUUCUCCCAAAAUGUAUGUCAAUUGGUAAGACACAAUUCCCAAAGUAUGUCAAAGGAACCGGAGGGUCUAAACGGUUUCUAAAAUCAGCAGCGUACAUAAACCGAAUUGGUCUAUCUACAUUGCCUCCACGCGCCUUAACCACACAAGUCAACACAUAAGCAUACUUGACUACAAACGUUGACAAGUAAAGAUCAGACCGAGUUGACUCAUUCUUGGUUCGUUCUUUAAGUUUCUUGAUAUUUUCUUGAGACAGCUGGAGCGUGACCCGGACAAGGUCGUCGUCAAUCUCUUUAGCGGAAGGAGACUUUAAGGUUCUUGUGUCGUUGUCUACGUCUCCUGAUAGAUACGACAGGAGUUGCAAGAUCUUAAAUUCGAGUCCGACAGAAACAUUGAUCACCGUACGAUCCGAAUGUGUAGGUAAAACAAAACCUUGUGGUAUGGUUCCGUAUUUACAUAUAUGAGCCCAAGAUUUGUGAAAAUUUGUUGAGGUUUUGCCGUCCAUGAUGACAUGAUGGGUUGUGAGCCCAAGAGAGAAGCCUUGGUUUGGGAAGAGAGUGAUUUGUAGAGCAAGAAUAGAUGAAGAGUUAGAGGAAGUUUCUAACGUAGGGAUAAGAGAACGUAACUUGCUCUCGAGACGAGGCUCUUUGCCGGAGAGUCUUGAGAAGUCAGCGUCGGACUCAACCACAGUGAAGAGACAGUGUCUUGUGGGAAGAUGAUGACAUGUGGCUUAGGAUCUUGUGGAUCCCAUUUGAUGUGACCAGAGAGUGGGAGGAAGUUAGUGAGGGCAAGGGAGAGAGAUUGCUCGAGCUUUGGGAGGAUUGUGGAGAAGAAAGAGUCGUGAGAUGAUGACUCAGAGAGUUUGUAAAAGGUGACUCGCUCGAUGGGAUGGUGUUUUAGCCAAAGUAAAUCGAAGAAAGUGAGUGGGAGGAAGAGCGGGGUGACUGAGUUAGUUGCAUGGCUGACUCGGGAGAUCUUGAUCAUGUUAAGAGCCAUCGUUGAUGGAGACAAUUUCACUUGGACUCAAUUUCAGGUAUUUGUUUCAAAACAAAAUUUCACCUUAGCCUUCUAUCUCAGUUUUUCUUUUAGAAAGUGGCAAAGUGGGCUGGGCCAAUCAGGUUUUAGCCAUUUGGGCUUAAGUGGACGAAUAUACCCUCCAAUAAGAAAUGAAACGAGGCGGUUUUCUUUGUUUUUCUGUUUAUGAAAAUAAUAUUUAAACUUUAAAAUAAAUCAAAAACAAGUUAAUAAUUUUAAAACUACCAAAAAAAAAUAAAAGAAAAUCAAAAACUCUUUUCGAAGACGCAGAACAAUUCUGACGAAACUUAAACCCAUAUUGAAAGUGAAAUUUCGAUUGAGGCUCUCUUCGAGUUCAAGUCGUUGCUUAAGUGGAGGAAAUUUUGAUCGAGUUCGUGUUAAAGUGUCUAACAAUAAGAGGAUUUUUGGGUUUCUCAAUUCACUGUUUAUAGAAGAACUCAAAUGGCAGAGAUGAAGAAGAGUAGUCGGCGACGAGGAGUUUCCGAAUUUAGUGUCGAAGACGCAAAAUCAAAAACUGUUUUGAAGACGCAGAACAAUUCCGACGAAACUUAAACCCAGAUCGAAAGUGAAAUUUCGAUUGAGGCUCUGUUCGAAUUCGAGUCGUUGCUUAAGUGGAGGAAAUUUUGAUCGAGUUCGUGUUAAAGUGUCUAACAAUAAGAGGAUUUUCGGGUUUCUCGAUUCACUUUUUAUAGAAGUACUCAAAUGGCGGAGAUGAAGUAGAUUAGUCGGCGGCGAGGAGUUUCCAAAGUUAAUGUCAUCGGCGGCGACGACAAAUAUGGGUAAGUUUGCCCUAACUUCGUUUGGGAAUGUUUUGAUACAAAAUUUAGGUUAAUUUUAGAGAUUUCAAAUCAGAAAAUUUCAAUUGACAAAGGGUUUUUAGUGUUUCCGCUAAAAACAGUAGAUUGAGUAUAAAAUUUACGGUGUACGUGUAUAUGAAUAUCAAGUUUAUGUUUAGUUUGUAUUUGGAUAUAGUGUACGUCUUAAGAACUUCAUCGUAUUUUUCAACUUUCAGGAAGUACUUCUAAGGAUCCUGGUGAAUUACCACAGAGGUUGUUUGCACUCGACCACUACCCAACCAAGGCUAAGAUAAAUGCGUACUCUAAACCGGAGUACCUUAGUCAUCUAGCAUAUGCGCUUAAGGGAAUACCAGAAAUAACGUUCCUUCUAGAGUCUCCAUUUAGGGACCUAUUUAGGAUCCCUGUUAACAAGCCAUCUUUUUCUGGUAAACUUGUUCUUGGGUUAAUAUGCCGUCAGUUAGUUACAAAGAAAUGAUAUGAGAUGUAGAUGGUAUUCGGUGAUCAUCCUAUUAAGUUAGGAUUAAGAUAAUGAGCACUUUUAACUGGUUUGGAAUGUGGAACCUAUCCUAAAAAUAUGACUUUGACUUGGUACAUAGAUGAAACUGCUAGAUCCUUUGUAGCUUGCGAUAUUAUGCUAGUAUCCUUUCCCUCAAUAUCCACAUGAACAAGUUCAAUAUGUUCAAAAUCCUCCAGAAAACUCUUUAAGUGUUUCAACUCUUCAGCAGUUCCGCAAUAAGCAAGAACAUGCAACACCCUCACUUGGUUCAGAGGCAUGGAGAAAUCACCUGUGUAACCAUUCAGAUCCUAAAAAAACAUUAAUCAAGAAGAUUGAUCAACCACACAAUUUGUAUAUAUAUAUUGAUUCAUAGAUUUUUCUUACUGAAUAUAUAUAUAUAUACCUUGAUGGUUAGAUUUUCAAGCUUUGGAGAAUGCUUAAGUACACAUUUGCGAGCAAUUACCAACCAUCUUCAUUCAUAAGACCUAAAGAUAACUUAAUUAGACUGUUGAACACAGUUAGACAAUCUUCAUAGAAGGAACAAAUCAAACAAAUCUUCUGAAAACAAAAACAAACUUUAAGACUGUCCCAAGAUUUCUCAAAACGAAACAAGGAAAAUUGCCGAGACGCAAAGAACUUACAUCGACCGAACCAGGAGACAAAUGAAGGAUCUCAACAUUAAUUUCUUAUCCCCAUAAUGAGUUUCAUUACAUCUGCAUCCGCAAUGCCUGGUGGAUCAAAAUCCAGCGUGUAGCAUGUCAGGAGUCCAUAUUAACUUGUGGAUACUGACACAAGGAGAAACUAGAAUAGUUGAGGUAUACAAGAUUUGGCAGGUCAAAUGAUAGGCUGCUAUUAAUAACACGACUUCGAUAAUAAACUGAUAGUCUCUUGAGAGACGGGCUCAAUAUGGUGUUGUUAGGUAUUGUUGGUUUGCCUCUGAUAAGGAGUGUGUUAAGGAAUAUUGUUAACACCUAAAGCACUCGGCAACCAACAAGAAGCGUGCAAAGCAAAUCAUCAUGUUUAUCGAUAAUCGUAUCUAUGUAGAGAAACUUAAGAGAUGGAAGUGACACAUAUGAAGGAAGGUUUCUAAGAGGGAGCCUUAGUGACAGCUUAACAAGUGUUUUGCUUGCAAAGAGCUGGUGAGGCAAACAUUAUGCAUCUCGAUCUUUUAUCCUUAGUUCAAUUUCCAAAACACCACGUUUUAUGACAUGAGAGAUCCAACUGCCCACAUAAGCCUUUUGCCUUUGAUUCUCCUUUGGAACCUUACAUUUUAGAGAGAAUUUCUUGAUCAGAAAGUCACAUUGCUAAGUCAGAGUUCAAUCCACAAAAUUCUUGAAGCUAUUAUUCAAGAAAGAAUCAUCAAAAUCGAGAGUAUCCACCAAGCUAAACAUAUACCUCCACUUUUUUGAGAGGACAAAUGUUGAAGCAGCUUGUUUUGUCUUUUUUUAUGUAUGAAUGUUAAAUUUAUUCACCAAAAAAGACUGUUUUACAAAAAAUGCAACAUCAAGCUGAACGUUUGAGAAGAAAAAUUAAAGACGAACAACUGAAAUAUAGUUAAUUCGGAUGAGUAUGGAACCAAUAUCGUAGCCCACCUUCGUAGGUAGGGGAGGCCAGCAAAGUACUAAGCUGGUUUCGAACAUUUUUAUCGACCAUUUUUGCUAGCGUGUUGGGUGGAGUUGGUGGUUCCCCGUGUUUCCUCCCAUUCCGUUCCCGCCAUACACUAUGGAUGGAUAACUGAAACACAUAUCGCAAGACAAAAAGAUGGACCUUUGGAAUUGGUAAAGUCGUAAGCAUGGAAAUCAGAGACUCCCAAUGAGUUGUGUAGUGUUGUCCAAGCAAGUGCCGGGUGAAGGCGGACCAAACCUGAGUCGAAUAUGAACAAGAGAAAAAGAGAUGGUCCCUUGUUUCGAUAUCCUCAUGACACAAGACACAAUUACCACUUACGGCAACAUUCCAAUUGAGCAUUCUGUCACCAGUCGCUAAGCGAUUACGAACUGCGAUCCAUGCUAUGAAAGAGUACUUAGGUGUAGAUUUGGGAAACCAUACACCUUUGUACCAUUCACAUAUUGUAUAUGUUGUCGUAUCGCAUGCCAAGUUUCUCUUCAGAUGAAAACAUUCUCGAAAGUGCCAUUGUUUCUUUUUCAAAGAAAAUUGUCCUUCCCAGAAUGAUGAGUAGGGCGUGAGUUUAGGACUCUAAUUCAUCCUCAAUCCGGUUGAGCAAAACAGACCUAUGACGACGACGGUGCGCUGAGAGGCCUUCUGCAACUGAGCAAGUAAAGGAGAUACCUAAAUCAAUGCAUCCACGAGGACCUAAAAGAUCCGUCAACCUACCAAGAGAACACCAAUAAUCAUACCAAAAGGAGGUAUCUGAACCGCUAUUUACCUCCAAUCUUUGUAAAGAUUUUGCCUUGUCUCGAUACUUUAGAAUUUUUCUCCACAUCCAAGAACCAAUACUUGUAGAUCCGUUUACCGGCCAUAAGGAUUUUGAUCGUAACAGAGUUGCUCUGACCCAGAGAGAAUCUUUGGUAGAGACGAGUCGCCAAAUAAGCUUCAGUAAAACAGUGUUCGUUUCAGAUAGCGACCUUAGCCCCAUCCCCCCCCCCUUGAGAGGAGACUUUCAAGUUCCUUUAUGCACUUACUAGGCAACCUGAAGACUGAGAGCCAGAAGCUUGUGAUGCUCGAUAGAACCGAAUUUAGCAGUUGUAAGCGACCCGCAAACGAUAAAAACCGAUCUGUCAAAGAAGCGAUUCUAGAUCGUAUUUUCUCAAGAAGUGGGAGAUAGUCGGAACGUGUCAUACUUUUUGUGAGAAGCGGGAGACCAAGAUACUUGACCGGAAGUGUUCCCGCAACAAAAGGAAAUUGGUGAAGCAGAUUAUCUAUACGCUGAGGUGAGCAACCUGCCAUAAACAACGUCGAUUUCUCUAAGCUGAUUUAUAGACCCGAAAAUCCUGGAAAGUUCCCAAAGACCUGUAGUAAUGCUGCUAUGGAUCGAGCACUACCAUCUGAAAAAACCAAACUGUCGUCCGCAAAACACAAAUGACUGCAUGAGUCCCAUGUUUUUAAACCAAGGAUGGUACCCAAUAUCAUUAUCCCUAGCCGCUUUGUCAAGCAUUUUAGACAGAACAUUCAUACAAAUGACGAUGAAAUAAGGUGAGAGGGAGCAGCCUUGUCUCAACCCUCAUUUGCUUUGGAAGUAACCUGCCAAUUCUUCCAUUGACUUGAACCGAAAAAGAUGCAGUACCAAUACAGAGUUCAAUCCAUCGAACAAAAACCAGCGGGAGAUAAUAACCUUUUAGAACCGUGAGAAGAAAAGGUCAUUGGACCGAGUCAAAAGCCUUUGAUAUAUCAAUCUUUAAUGCACACCUUGCGGAGAUUGAUUCCUUAUAUCAUAAGGAUACACUACAAGAAAACAGGUGAUUGACGACCUACAAGUCAGUCGUUUAGUAGUCGUAACUAAAGCUAAUACGACUAAUUUGCGACUAAUGACUGUAGUCAUUAAUCCAUAGUCGCUAAAAACACUAGUCGUUAAUUAGUCGUUGGUCAACGACAAUAAUACGACAACUGACUAAACAGUGAAAAAUCGUCGUUACGUAGUCGUACUAUGUCGGCGACUAAUUGACGACUAUCCUACGAUUAUUUGUACUGUACAGAGCGUGUGAGAACAUGUAGUCGUUUCGUAGUCGUUAAUUGUGUACGACGACAUUACGACGAUGUUGCGAUGAAAUAUUCUAAACCUUGGGUAUGUUUCCAAUUGUCGUAAAAUAGUCGUAAAUAUGUUUACGACUAUUCGACGACUCUUUGACGAUUAAAAGUACUUUACCAAGGAUUUGAAAGUUUUUGUCAUAACAUAGUCGUAUAAGUAUAUACGACUAUUGGACGUCUGUUUUACGAUUCUUUUAUGACUAAUUUGUUUAGUCUUAUGAUUGUCGUAAAGUUAUGUGACUAAUUGACGACUAUUCAGCGACUAUAGUGCUACUUAUUUACUACUUUUUUGCGACUAAUAGUUUGGUCCGAAUAAAGAUUUGGUCAUCAGGUGAUGGGUUUCUUGUUUGUUCUUGUUUAUUCAUCGAUUGUUCUUGUUUGUUAUUGAUAUGCUAUACAAUAUGAAAACACUGCUUAUAUAUUGAAAAUCAAGUUCAAAACAUAAAAUUAUCUUGUUCAAACAUACAACUUAUUGAAAGAUACAACUAGUGUUUGGAAACCUAAAUUCUAUGGAUCAUUAGAUGGGGGAGUAAUUGGGAUACGCUCUGUGGAUGUGGAAGAGUGUGUGGCAAUGAAGUCCAAGAACUGCGGAUCGGUUUGGCGGAGAUACUUCUCGACUAAGGACAAGUGCUCGAGCUUGUCCUUUUGCUUAGCUGUGACUCGGGCUGUCUCGGCUUCUCGGGCAGCAAUCUCAGCAUCUCGCUUUUCGUUAUAUGCAGCCUGUUCUUCAAUUUGCCGCUGAGCUUCCUGCAGCCGUUCUUCUAAGGCUUUAAAGGUUGAGUCUCCGGGGAGUUGGCGGUUGGCACUGCCUAGAGUUUCUUUAAGACAGCCAAGUUCAUAAGGAUUGCCUCUUGCAUCCUUUUCUGUGGACUGCAAGAAAUAAAGAGGAAGAUAAUUAGUGACAGAUCCUAAAUGUCUCUAAGACUCUGAAAAAGACAAAGAACAUCUUACCUCGAGAAAUAUGGCUGCAUACUCAUCUAGUGUGAGAUCCCGAGGACGUGAAGAGCCAUCAGACACAGAAGAAGCAGCCGCCUCUAGUUCAGACAACUCUCUCACAUUCUGCUCAUACGCCAGAGCAAUCUUCUCUGCCUUCUGAUCAACAUAAGUCCCAUCCGACUUAGUGUGUGUUUGGAUGAACACCUCACCAAGAGGGACAGGUCUUCCCAUUUUUUCUUCCUGCAAACACAGAUCACAAGCUUCAUUACUAUCAACAGACUAAACAUCACACACAGUUAAACGAACAUCACUAAAACACAUGGGAAGAUUGCAGAAACACUUACCAAUUCAUCUUGGAUUUCUUGGAAAGACUUUGGCCCAGAGUAGUGGACGUGAGGACCGAGACCGUUACGGUCAGAGAGACGAGCUUUGGAAUAUGUCUUACUCCUUUUUUGUGCCUCUUCAGUGUCCCAGUAGUCGCACAUGGUUCCCCACAGAGUUUCUCCAAUCCAUGGAGGCUGCUCUCGAGUUCUCCUUGCGGUGCUAACCAUGUCCUUCAAGCGCCUCUUAACGAUCUCAUUGAAGUAGUAUUGGACUGUCCCUGUUAUUAAGAGAUCCCAGUGGUGAGUUUUCUACAAAAAAAGUGUGAAGUUAGUGAACAAAUGACAGAUUAAAUAGUACAGUCUAAUGAAAGUUGGAGAAAUACAAGAAGCUUACCGCAAACUCUAAAAACAAUCUUUCUCUUUUAUCCAAUGGCACACAGGACCAAUUAUAGUAGGGAGCAUUGAACUUUUGAGUAAAAAUCCAUGUGAUCUUUCUAACCAAUUUAGAUCCUCUGUCGCGAGUAAACCUCCAAACACAUGCAACACAGACAGAAAGUAAACAUGUUUAAAAUCCAAAACACUACAACUACAGCAGACUAUAUAAUUGAACAAAGGCAGAUUCUACAAGAUUCUAGACAAGUAUAAGCCGACAAGAUCACACACAGAACACAAUAGUCAACAUAACAAGAUCAUAGACAGUAAAGAACAAGUAUAGACAAGUAUAGAACAAAGACAGAUCCUCAUUGUCAAAGCCGAAAACAUGCUAAGUUCAACAAUCAACAAAUGUUCCACAAUUAUGUUCAUGAUUCACAACAGAACACAAUAAAGAACUUAACAAGAUUAUAGACAAGUAUAGAACAAAGACAGAUCCUCAAUGUCAAAGCCGAAAACAUGCUAAGUUCAAUAAUCAACAAAUGUUCCACAAUUAUGUUCAUGAUUCACAACAGAACACAAUAAAGAACUUAACAAGAUUAUAGACAAGUAUAGAACAAAGACAGAUCCUCAAUGUCAAAGCCGAAAACAUGCUAAGUUCAACAAUCAACAAAUGUUCCACAAUUAUGUUCAUGAUUCACCACAGAACACAAUAAAUAACCUAACAAGAUUAUAGACAAAGUGAAGAACUUAACAAGAUUACACACGAGUUUAGAACAAAGGCAGAUUCUACUAUGUUACACAAACCCUAACAAACAUCCAAUUCCAACAAAGGCAGAUUCUACUAUGUUACACAAACCCUAACAAGCCAUUCUACAGACCAUAACACGAGUUACACUACACAGGCUAAGAACACUAGAAUAAAAUAGAGGAAGAGAACAUACCACUCGGUUUUAGGUUUGGGAAUUGGAGACAAGACACAACACCACUAGAUGGGGUAGAGAGUGUCGAUUGCAGAGCCAACGCCGAGUCUUCUUGUAGCUCCGACAACGUCCCAGGAACUUCCUCUUGGAAGUUGUUCCCUUGAGACGACGGGUGGCUGUUUGCUGGAGCGUCUGAAUCUCGCGACUGAGGAGGAGUUUGCUGAGGUGGCGCUGUUGGCGGCGGAGUGUAGUGGACCUCUUCAGAUAGAGGCGGAGGAGCUUGAUGUUGUGGUUGAGUCGUUGAGUUCUGGAAGAGUUGCAGAGGCGGUGGAUAGUUGCGGACGUGGGGUGCAGACGUUGAAGGUCCAUGUUGUUGAGCCGGCUCCGUCGCAGGAACUUGAACCGCCAGCGCCGGAGUGAAGUUGUAUUGGGGAGGAAGAUUUGCAGGUCUUGAUCCGCCGGCGCCGGCUCUCUGAGUGACGUUCGGCGUCGUCUUACGCUUCCGGGAGCCACCUCGACCGGCGAUAGGCAUGAUAGUGAGCCAAAUGAAGAGAUUGAAGAGAAAAAGAAGAAGACGACGAAGCAGAUCGAAGAGGUUGAAGGUGAGAGAUCGAAGAAGAUCGAUCGAUCUUAGCAGAAGAAGAAGAAGAUCGAUCUAGAAGGAGAAAGGAUUGAUCUUAGAAAGAGUUCUGGGGAUUAGGGUUUUCGAGACGAAGAAGAAGAAGAAGAGGAGGUUGGAUCGAAUAGGUUUAAGGUGAGAAAUCGAAGAAGAUCGAUUGAUCUUAGCAGAAGAAGAAGAAGAUCGAUCUAGAAGGAGAAAGGAUCGAUCUUAGAAAGAGAAUUGGGGAUUAGGGUUUUCGAGACGAAGAAAAAGAAGAAGAAGAAGAAAUGGCUAAGUGUUUGGCUCGAAGAGAAAUGACUCGAUUUAGGGUUUUCAACACAAUAGAAGUCGCAUAAUAGUCGCAUAAUUGUCGCAUAUUCAUUUGGGUUUGGGCCUCGAAAUUUUGAAGCCCAACUAAUCAAAAAAGUAUCGUUGAAUAGUCGUAAUUUUGUCGCCAAUUAUACUGGGUUUGGGUUUCAAAAUUUCAAAGCCCAACAAAUCAAAACUUGUCGGAACAUAGUCGCAUCUUUGUCAUAAAAUAUUACUGGGUUUGGGCUUCAACAUUUAGAAGCCCAAAAUACCAAACAUCUGUCGGCCAAUAGUCGCAAUAUUGUCGCCGAUAAUAAUGGGUUUAGGCCCCGAAAUUAAGAAGCCCACAAAACAAACUUGUCUCGGUAUUUAGUCGCAAUAUAGACGCCUAUACUAAUGGGUUUGGGCCUCGAAAUUUUAAAGCCCAACAUAUCAAACAGGUGUCGCAUAAUAGUCGUCGUUUUGUCGCCGGUUUUAAUGGGUUUGGAUUUCAACGUUUAGAAGCCCAAUAAAACUUAUCUUCGUCGCUCAUUAGUCGCAUAAUAGUCACUUUUAAAUUGAUAUAAUUAUAAAUGUGAAGAAAUAUUUGUAUAUCAUAAAAAAGUUCAAUGAUAUUAUGAAACAAAAUUCAUUCUAAUAUUUAUUCAAAUAAUUAUACAUAUAUUAACACAGUUAUACAUCUUCAUCUUCUACUUCAUCUUCGUCCGAGGACGAUAAAUUACAUCGGAAUUCGUCUUCUGGUUCAGCAUCCCCGACAUCGUAAUUAAGGAUUAUUGGGUUUAAGUUGGCUACCGGAGUUUCAAGAACAGGAUCUUCAAUUAUAGUGAGCAAAACAUCAUCAUCAUUUUCUGUUUGCAAAAGAGUUGGAUCAUUGUUUUCAUAUUCUCCAGAAAUGUUUCCCCUCGGAUUGACUUUUAGAACAUUGAGCCAAAUGUUCUUUGGUUUCUUCAUAUAUGGAUACGGAAUAUAACAAACUUGAUCUGCUUGAGAUCCUGUAUACAUAUAUCAAAGAUAGAUUAUUAAUAAUUAAAAAAAAAACGUAUUUUGGACUUAAGAAUAAUUACGUACCAAGAAUAAAUGGCUCGUAUUUAUUGUAUUUCCUCGUAGAUAGAAUGUCUACAACGCCACUAUGGCUUCGUCGAGUGCCUCUCCCGAUCUUUGGGUCAUACCACUUACACUUAAAAAGUGUGAUCCUCAAAUUGACGAUACCCUCAUACUCGAGUUCUAUAAUAUCAGUUAAGAUACCGUAGAAAUCCGCUUCAUCAGAUGAAUCAGCGUAAUUUUCACCUUUAACACAGACCCCAUAGUUACAUGUCUUUCGUCCAGCGCCGUGAUUUUGCGUAUGAAACAAAUAUCCUCUUGUGAAAUACAUUGGCCAAGUUUUAACCUUGUUCAAAGGUCCUUGCACAAUCUCUUGAACCCAAGUAGGAAAUGGAGAAGUAGUGUUCCAGUAUGUUACCUACAUAAUAGAUAAACAAUAUCAAUUAGUAUAUAUUAAAUGAUCACCUUUCGAAUGAACCAAAAUUGAUAUAGACUUACAUAUUCUUUAACCCAUAAAUGAUAUUCUUCCGCUCUUCUCGCGUAGAGUUCUUUUUUGGGCAAGCAUGGAUAUUUGGCAGAAAGAUAAUCUUCGAACAUACUAUAUUUACAAACGAGGAAAAUUAUCAAAGUGAUCUUAGUAAAAAUUUACAAACAACGAGUGAUUAAAAAUACCUCUCAAAUGGUUUAAAAUAGUCACAAUUUCUUAAAACAUAUGCAUGUGCGCUUUGGUAGUCUUUCUCUGAAAGCCAAUCUACAUGCAUUUCACCACUUGGACGGCCGACGUGCAUAAAUAUAUUAGGUACUCCAGGGACAUGAUAUACAGGAACUUUACCUUCAUUGAAUCUUGUUAACCUGAUCCAUGUAAGUGAAUUAAUAUCGAAGAAUAUCUAAUCGUUAAAUAAUUAAAUAUAUUUACCUUGAUUUUGUUUGAAUAUGAUCGGCAAAGUAGUGCUCUGAAAAAUAAGCAAUCUCGUCAUUGAUAUAUGACUCAACAAUUGAACCUGCAGCAUAUCUUUUGUUCUUUGCUUUUCCUUUCAACUUUUUGAAAAACCUCUCGAAUGGGUACAUCCACCUAUAUUGGACUGGGCCACCCAAUUCAGCUUCGUAUGGGAGAUGGAUAGGUAAGUGUUCCAUAACAUCAAAAAAUGAUGGUGGAAAGAUCCUUUCCAAAUUACAGAUGAUUAAAACUAUGUUCUGUUUGAGAAUUUGAACGCGACUUGUCUGUAAAGUUCUCGAACAUAGAUCUCGGAAAAAUGCUCCAAUUCCUAAAAUAUAUGUGCAAGUUAAAUGAUUAGAUUAAAAAAAUGUUGGAAAAAAAUAUAGUAAGUAUAUAUUGUACCUGAUAGUGCAAGGUGGACAUUCCGGUCAAGCAGUUCAGCAAAGAUAAAUGGAAGUAGUCGCUCCAUAAAUACAUGACAAUCAUGACUUUUCAUGCCUGAAAACUUUUCAUUAUCCAGAUCUAUACAACUAGCCAAAUCUGAAGAAUAACCAUCUGGAAAUCUAAUAUAAUAUUUCACACAUUGUAAUAAACUCUGUUUGGCUUCUUCUGUCAAUGUAUACGCUAGAAAUGGAGCUUUGCCACUACUAUCAAUAUGUAAGCCUGGGCGUGAACAAAAUUUCUCAAUAUCCAAUCUUGACAUGAUAUUAUCUUUUGAUUUACCCUUAACUCUCAUGAGAGUGUUCAUGAUGUUGUCAAGAAAAUUCUUCUCUGUAUGCAUCACAUCAAUAUUAUGUCGAAGAUUGAGGUCUUUCCAGUAAGACAACUCCCACAAGAUGCUUUCCUUGUGCCAAUUAUGUUUCUUCCCAUAGCCUCGCAUCUUCUUUUCAUGACCGUUCCCACCAACAUCCUUCGUUUUUGGUGGAUUUACACUAGCCAACCUCUCGUAAUAAACUUGCUCCCCUGUCAAAGACUCAGGUGGAUAUUCGCUAGAAGCAUCUCUUCCUUUCAGAAAGUCUUUUCUGUUCCUACGGGAUGGAUGACCAUGAGGAAAAAAUCUACGGUGACAAUCAAACCAGCAUGUCUUCCGUCCAUUGGGUAGAUAAAAAGACUUUGUACUUUCCAUGCAAACAGGACAAGACAAUUUACCAUGAGUAGUCCAUCCUGAUAACAUGCUAUACGCCGGAAAGUCGCUAAUCGUCCACAGUAGUACUGCUUUUAGAUUAAAAUUCUGACUCAAUGAAACAUCGUACGCAUCGACUCCAGUAGACCACAACUCUUUUAACUCCUCAAUAAGAGGUUGGAGGAAGACAUCAAGACUAGCUCGAGGAUGAUUUGGACCAGAAUUCAGAAUGGUAAGAAAUAAGUACUCUGUAUUCAUGCACAUACCAGGGGGUAAAUUAUAAAGAGUUAGGAUCACAGGCCACAAUGAAUGAUUACGAGACAUGCCAAAUGGAUUGAACCCAUCAGUACACAACCCGAGAUAAACGUUACGGGGUUCUUCCGCAAACUGGGGAUGUAACCCUAGGAAAUAUCUCCACUCUGCUGCAUCUGAAGGAUGAUUCAUUUCUCCCUCCUUUGAUUGGUGCUCAGCAUGCCAUCGCAUUGCCGCUGCUGUCUUAUGGCUCUGAUACAUUCUCUUCAACCGGUCCCCAAUAGGUAGAUACCACAUACGACUAUAUGGUACUUUGGUUCUUCGACGGUCGUCCUUAGGCUUCCAUCUUUUCGCACAACAAAAUCGACAUUGAUCUUCUUUUUCGUCUUCUUUCCAAAAUAGCAUACAAUUGUUCUGACAAACAUCAAUCGUAUGAUAUGGAAGUCCUAAAUUGCGCAUUAACUUCUCGGUCUGGUAAUGUGAAGUGGUUGUCUGGUUUCCUUCUGGUAAAAAAUCUGUAAACAUUUCGCAAACGGAGUCCACCAACUUUUCACUCAUAUUAUACUCCGCCUUGUUGUGCAUGAGUCGAGAUGCUAAGGAUAAUUGCGACUGCCCUUCACGACAACCAUUGUACAAAGGAUUAUUUGCACCUUCUAACAAGUCGUAGAACUUAUUUGAAUGGUUACGGACCGGUUCUUCCACAUUCUGAUAACUAUCAUCAUGACGAUAGUUAUCAUCAUACCCCACAUUAAAAUUAAAUGCAUCGUUCACCAUAUCCACAUAUGGAUCUUCUACAAUAUUACCCACUUCUUCAUGAUUCUCACUAAAAUAAGUCCUAUUCGUGUAACUCGUUCCUAUAUCCAUAUUCAUUUCUUCUCCAUGCUUAUACCAAACAUAAUAAUCAGGCAUAAAUCCAUGACUAAACAAAUGACUACUAACUCUUCUACCCGAGAUGAUGUGUUUUUCAUUCUUGCAUACACUACAAGGACAAUGAAAUUUACCUCGACUACUCUGUACUAUUGGCUGACUAUUAGCGAAUGUCAUGAAUUGCUCAACUCCUGCGACGUAUUCGGCUGACAAAUUCCCCGUCACUUCAUCAAAUCUCUUGUACAUCCAAUCUCGAUAGAAACCGCCAGUACCGCCAUAAUUGUAGUUUCCCGCCAUUAUACAAUAAAGUAACUAAUAUUUUUUUUUCUCUUUGAUGUUGUUGUUGUUUUGAUUUGUUGGUGAAAGAAGAGUUGCGUGAACGUUUAUUAUAUAGGCCAAUUUUUGUGACUAAUUUACGACUACAACUAAAUAAUUAGGUGUACCUACUUACCAAUGUGAAACACGUUUUCCAUCUACUUUAUACGACUAUGGUGCGACGUUUCUACGACUACAGGCUGACUAAGACGUCUAAUCGUCCUGUAGUCGCCAAAUUAGCGACUAAAUAAAAUAGACGGUAGAAUAGUCGUUAAUUAGCGACUAAGCAACGACAAAAUUAUCCCUUCAAUAAUAUAAUCGUCAAAUAGUCGUUACUUGCCGACUCUUUGCCGACUGCAUACGAUAGUCGUAAAACAACGACUAUGUAACUACAAUUUUUCGUGUUGUCGCAUGCGAGUCGUAAAUCCGUCGUCAAAUAGUCGUAUAAUGUUACGACUACGUUUGUUGUCGCUGAUUGUAGUCGUCGUUUACCUGUUUUCUUGUAGUGAUAAUCCUUAACUAGUUCCGAGGCUAACAACAAAUUCUCCAUUAUAAGCCGAUCUUUGAUGAAUACAGACUGGUUAUUCACUACAGGAAAAUGGGUUUUUAAUAGCACAGAAAUAUAGCGUUUUAUGUCAAUAUGCUAUCAUUGAUAGAAGGAUAAAAUAAAGAUAACGUCUCCAAAAAUGAAAUGCUAUGAUAGCUUUACUCACUAAAAAUUAUUUUCACGUGUUAAGUAAAAAAAAGGUUAAGUCCACAUUCAGUCUUCUCUCUCACUGUUCAACUCGACAAUUCCUCUCUCUCACUGUUCUUCAAAAAAAUUUCUUUCAAUCGUCGAAUUGUUCUGUCUGUUUUUCAAAACGAUUAUUGUUCUGUCUCUUUUCCAAAAUGGUUAUUGUUCUUCGGUAGCUCAUAGCUCGAUUGGUCUUCGAUAAUUCACUCUCUCACAAAGCCCAGAAAUAUCUGAUAAAGGUAUUUUAAUCUGUUCAAUUCAAUAUCUGAUAGAGGUUUGAUUUCAAUUUUGAUUUCAUUUCAAUUUGGGGAUUUUGAUUUGGGGAUUUUAGGGGUUUUAGGGUUUCGUUUCGAUUUGGGGAUUUUAGGGUUUUGUUUUGAUUUUAGGGAUUUCGAUUUAGGGAUUUCGAUUAAGUGAUUAAUUGUUUUUCGUUUUGGUUUAUUUUAAUUUUAGGUCCUCGUUUCAAUUUGGGGAUUUCGAUUUUAGGGUUCUUUAGUUAGAUUUAGAUUUGGUUUUCAAUUUGGGGAUUUCGUGUUUUGGCUUUUAGUUUGAUGAAAACUAAUAGUCAUUUUCUUUAUGCAGAUUAUUGUUUCAGAAUCUACAAGAGCUUAAGAGGUAGCAGAUUCUUAUCUAUUUCUAUAUUUUUUGGUUUAUUUGUUGUGAGAUGAGUGUUUGAUAAAUGAAAUUAUUGUCACGCAUGUCUGAGUAAUCCGUGGUUGAGCUCUGGUGUUAUAACAUGGAAAAGGCUUGGGUAUGGCUUCCAAGGUAUGAAUUUUCUGGUUAUCAAUUAGCUAGUGUUUUAUUUCAACUUUGUUUCUUCUUAUUGAUAUUUUGCCUUGUUUAUUUACAUGAAGGGCUAGCAUUGAAUAUGAGAAAGGUGCUACCGUUUUUGUGAAUGAAUCAGCACAAAAAUUGGGUAAUCCUGAAGAAUUAUUGUGUCCAUGCAUUGACUGUCGGAAUGUUUGCCAUCAUCUAUUAGAAAUCGUGUUAGAGCAUCUGGUGAUUAGAGGGAUGGAUGAGAAAUAUAAGAUUAAGGCAUGUUGGAAUAACCAUGGAGAGAGAAGGGAACAUAACAUGGCUAGUGUUGAAUCUUCAGAGAAUGAUGCUUAUGACUUGAUUAGGACUGCAUUUUUCAGUGGUGGAGAAAAGCAGCAAAUUCAGAAUGACAAUGAUGCUUAUGAUGAAGAACUAAGCAAAGAAGAAGCUGAGUUUAGAGAGAAGUUAUUGGAAGCUGAAACUCCUCUAUACUUGACAAGUUCUAAGUAUACCAAGGUGGUUGCAAUAAUGGCUCUCUAUCGCAUCAAGGUGAAAAGUGGUAUGUCUGAAAACUAUUUUGAUCAGUUGCUUACAGUUGUUCACGAUAUGCUUCCUGUGGAGAAUGUUCUUCCCAAGUCAACUGCUGAGAUAAAGAAGUUCUUGAAGGUUUUCGGUUUUGGUUACGAUAUGAUUCAUGCCUGUAAGAAUGACUACAUUCUUUAUCGUAAGCAGUAUGAGGAGUUAGUUAGCUGCCCGCGAUGUAGUGCUUCACGAUGGGAGAAGGAUAACCACACAGGAGAAGAAAAUAAAGGGGUUCCAGCAGAAGUCUUAAGAUAUUUCCCUAUCAAGGACAGAUUCAAGAGACUUUUCAGAUCGAAAAGGAUUACUGAAGAGUUGCGGUGGCAUUCCAGCAAUGGUAGUGUAGAUGGGACAAUGAGACACCCAGUUGACUCGCUCACUUGGGAAAAAGUGAAGGAGAAAUGGCCUGAGUUUGAUGGUGAUCCUAGGAACCUUCGUUUAUGCCUUUCUACAGAUGGGAUGAACCCAUUCUCAAUGCAGAAUACUAAGUACAGUGUAUGGCCAGUUAUGUUAGUUAACUAUAACAAGGCUCCUACCAAGUGUAUGAAGUCAGAGAACAUCAUGUUGACCAUGCUCAUCCCUGGACCAACAGCCCCCAGUAACAACAUCGACGUCUACUUACAACCUUUGGUAGAUGAUUUACUUGAUCUGUGGAAUGAUGGUAUUCAAGUUUAUGACUCCUUUAUGUAAGAGACUUUUACACUUAGAGCAAUGUUACUUUGGACUAUCAGUGACUAUCCGGCUUUAGGGACUCUCGCUGGUUGUAAGGUCAAAGGGAAACAAGCAUGUAAUGUCUGUGGUAAAGAUACACCACAUAGGUGGUUGAAGUUUAGUCGGAAACAUGUUUACUUAGGCAAUAGAAAGCGUCUCCGACCUGGGCAUCCUUAUAGACGUCGAAAAGCUUGGUUUAAUAACACGGUUGAGAAUGGAACUACAAAUAGAAUUCAUAGUGGAGUUGAUAUUCUAGAGACAUUAAAGGACUUUCGCAAUGAUUUUGGGAGACCGCUGGAUAAGAGAAGUAAGAGAAGCAGAACUGAUUUGGAUGAAGAGGGUGUUAAUUCAGAUGAAGAAGCAGAAGAAGAUAGUGAUAAGUGGCGUUGGAAGAAACGUUCUAUCUUGUUUGACUUACCAUAUUGGAAGGUUAGUGUGUCUUCUAAACUGUAUUACAAGUAUAUGUAGUAUGGAUUUGUCUAACUUUGAUUUUUUCAUUGCUCAGGAUAUGCCUGUGAGACACAAUAUAGAUGUGAUGCAUGUGGAAAAGAACAUAUCUGAUGCAAUGUUGUCAACUUUGAUGCAAAGUGUUAAAUCAAAAGACGGUUUGAAAUCACGAAAGGAUUUAGAAGACAUAGGGAUUAGAAAACACUUAUAUGCAAUCACACGUGGAAAGAGAACUUACCUGCCUCCUGCCGCUUAUUGGCUAUCAAAGUUAGAGAAGAAGUUGUUCUGCAAUAGGUUAGCAAAAUUUAGGGGUCCUGACGGAUAUUGUGCUAAUAUCUCAAACUGUGUAUCAGUUGAGCCUCUUGGAAUUGGUGGGUUAAAAUCACAUGAUCAUCACGUCCUUAUGCAGAAUCUACUUUCAGUUGCUUUGAGAGGCUUGUUGCUCAGAGGACCUCGAGUUGUUGUCGCUCGUUUAUGCUUUUACUUCAAUAGAUUAUGUCAGCGUGUGAUUGAUCCAGAGAAAAUACUAGCCUUAGAGUCUGAAGUUGUGGAUACAAUGUGUCAACUAGAACGGUUCUUUCCUCCUUCCAUGUUUGACAUAAUGUUUCACCUGCCCAUACAUCUAGGGAGGGAAGCACGAAUGGGUGGGCCAGUACAUUUUCGCUCGAUGUACCCAUUUGAGAGGUACUUCUACUUCUAACUCUCUAAUUAUGUGAUAUGUUGUUAGUUAGCUUUAUUGAAAUCUUCAGACUCUAAGGCUAGUAUUUUCUCUUAUGAUGUAGGUACAUGAAAAAAUUGAAAUCUUAUGUUAAGAACUAUGCAAGACCAGAAGCGUGUAUUGCAGAGGGCUAUUUGGCUGGAGAAUGUGUUGCAUUUUGCACAGAGUUCCUACGCAACUCGUUACCAUAUGAAGAAUCAGUUAAUCGCAAUGAAGAUAUUGAGACAAAUGAGAAUGUGCUUGGAGGUCGUCCAUUAUAUAAGGGUACAAAUGUUACACUAAUAGAGAAAGAAAGAGAGAUAACACAUCGAUAUGUUCUAAUGAACAUGGCUGUGACUGAACCUUAUAUUGAGUAAGAGCACUGAAUCUCCUGUAUAUAUCUUUAUUCAUCGAGUAUGAUCUUUACAUUAAGUUUUGUCUUUUUUCAGUAUGCAUUUGGAAGAAUUACAAGAAUUUGAUGAUAGUUGUGCAAGAAACGAAACUCUAGUGUUCAAGUUACACAACAAAAGAUUUGCAAAGUGGAUUAAAAAUAAGGUAUGAGUUCAUCACUUACAAAUAUGAUAUUGUUUCUCUGUAAUGAUGUAUUGAGUAUUGUCUGUUUUUAUUAGAUCCCUUCAAACUCAAAGGAUCAUUCAAUGAAGCUAAGGCGGAUAGCACUUGGACCAAGACUAAUUGCUCAGACUUACAAGGGGUUUAUCGUAAAUGGGCAUAGGUUCCACACCGAUGAUGUAAAGCGAAAGACUCAGAAUAGUGGAGUCACAUAUGAAGCCUUUAGUAUGCGUAGAUCAAGUGCACGUGAUAGUAGGCACCAAGCUGACAUAGUUACAUAUUAUGGAGUCAUAAAGGAGAUUUUAUUGCUUGACUACCAUAUGUUCCAAAUACCUAUUUUCAAGUGCAAUUGGGCCCAUAAAGGUCAUGGUGUGAGAGAAGAAGAAGGAUUCACGCUUGUGAACCUCCACUUGAGCCAAGCAGCAUUUGUAAAAGAUCCUUACAUUAUGCCAUCCCAAGCGAGACAAGUGUUUUACUCUAGAGAGGAUGAUUUGAGUCAGUGGUAUGUGGUAAUGAGAGCGCCACCAAGAGGUUAUCAUGAGUUAGAGACUGAAGAGGAGUUUAAUAGUGCACCAUUUUCAGUCCAACCAAUUGAUGAUUCAGGAAAUCAAUCUGAUGAUGACAGUUUUUGUGCUAGGGCAGAUUGUGAAGGGGUUACAGUAGUGGAUUAAUGUAUGAUUUAUUGUUAAGAAUACAUGUUUAACUUUGGAGAUUUGAUGGUUUUUCAGGUUAUCUGAAAUGGCUAAGAAAGGUGAACUGAACCCACGCCGUAGUAAGCGUCAAAAGGGACUAGAUGCGAGUCCUGUCAUAUCAUCCUUGAAGAAGAAAAAGAAGCAACAAAAGGAAGUGCUUAUUCCUGUGAUAGAAGAAAGCAGCAAGGAGACGACUUUUAAUGAUGAAGAUGGAGUUCAAGUAGAGUUUGAGGAAGUAACCCAAGCUUCUCGUGGUGCUGAUUCAUUGGAUAAAAAUGAAGAAGCUGAUGACCAAGAAGUUGAGAGAACAGACCCUAUUGAAGAAGAUUUGGAGCCUCCUGCUCAAGAAGAAGAUUUUGGCCAGCCUUCCACUGAAAGGCUUACAACUGCGACUGCUGAAACAUCAACACAAGUGUCAGUGACCAAGAAAAACAGACUAAGAGGACCCACAAAGCUGCGAAGAGUGGCCAAAAGUGCACAAGACAAAGUUGAUGUCGAAUUUACAGAAUUGGGAGAAUUUGUGGGAUCUGGUUCAGUUAAACUUUCAUCAUUUCUUGGAGCACUUGUGAGAGAGUACGUCCCUAUUAUUCUGGAUGAUUGGAGGCAGCUAGAUGAUAUAAUAAGGGACACACUAUGCGAGGAAAUUCAGGUAAGUGUAUUGAUCAUCUUAUUACAUUUACUUGAAAAACUAAUUAAGUAAAGAAUAGUGAUUUUCUAUACAUUUGUAUACUAAUGUAGGGGAGGUUCAAUGUGGACCAAGAAUUGCAAAGAAGAGAAAUUUUCAAACAUAUGGGUUGUUUGUUUAGGGCUUCUAAAUCCAACCUUCUGGCGAAAGUGAGAGUUGCUAAAUGGUUUUAAUCAUAGGAAGUAAGAGAUAAAGUCUCAGAUACACCACAUUCAAUUCUUUUACUUGUAGAAAAAAGAGAGUUCAGACCCCUCGCAGGUGACAAGGAGUAAAGUUUGGGUUGCAGGACACACGCAUUCUGAUGGAAGACCAGUCAAGGCCGAAUUUGUCGAGACCAUUGUAAGUAAUAUCUAAUUUCUUGUGGUUUACUCUGAUAUUAUCUAAAGCUAGCUACUUAUACCUGUUUGAUUACAUAUUUGAAUGCAGGAAAAAAUAAAAUCUUUUUUUUGAAAGAAUGUAAAAUUGUAUUCAGUCAAAAACCUUUUUACAAAAGAUGUAACAGUGUGUGUAAAAGUUUAGAAUAUAAGCUGAAGAUACAAUAGCUGAAAGAAAAGACUAGAGAGGUUGUAGAGGAUGAAGGGGUCGAGUGGAGAACCAAAGCUGCAGGCAAGUGUUGUAGCUGUGAUCUCCUGUAUCUCGGAUUGAGCUGAUUCGAUUACGAACUGUUUUGUCAAUGAGCUUGAUGAGCCUAUUCGGUGGUGAGCUAAGUUCACCAUGACGUCUAGCAUUCCUUUCUCGCCAAAUGUGGUAGAUUGUGGCUUGAAAGGAUUGUAGAUUGUGGAAAAAAUAAAAUCAAUAGAGAGUGAAAUGGAUUUCACAUCCACUAGUGUUAAAGAAGAUGUUGUGACUCAAGUACUAGGAAAAGACAAACCUGGGAGAGUUAGAGGGUUGGGCAGAGGGGCUACAUUAACCUAGCUGGCAUUUUUGCAAGUUAGAGACUCACAUGUGCAUAAAUUUGAAGCUACUCAAGAACUAUUAUUGAGCAAGGUUGAAGACUUACAGAAUGUUGUUAAAAAAAUGGCUAGUAAUAAGGUAUGUACUCAGACGCCCUUGUUUACUGUUAUGAUCUAUGUUAGUUAACUUCUAUGUGAUAUUUUAGUCUUCUAACAAUUUUAUUUCUCAGCCACCUUGUGAUACUCAAUCCAGAUCUGAAGCAACCAAUUUUACAGUAGGCGUCAAAUGUCAAAUUCUUGAUUUGGAAUCUGAAGAUGAUAUUGUUAUUGCUGAAGGAGAGUUGUGUUCUACUGAACCAGCAUAUAAGAUUCGUCGUGUACCACUAGGACCUAACGCAGCUGCUAUUGUAGUCAAAACGGUAUUUGAUAAACAAGCUUCUGUUUGGAGGCCUAUACCAAACAUCGUCUUCAUUGGACAAGCGUUGGGAGCCAAAAUUGCAUGGCCAGAGAAUAAGUUGAUUUUGGACAAUGAUGACUUCACAAGUUGGAGCACAACUGCAAACAAGAACAUUGAUGAUGCAUAUACGGUAAUUGUUUAGAGGCUUGUUAUCAACUUAUCCAAAUUAUAGAAACUUACUCUUUAGCUAGGUUGGUAAUACAUUUGCCUGAAAUGUAGGAACAAGAGAGGGUUCGUAUUAUUGAUUGGACUGUGGAUGAGGUUUAUGCUGAAGGUAAACUGUGUUCAAUUGAUCCAAAUGAACUCUUGAACGAAGUACCUAUUGGUCGCAAUUAAUGCAAUUGUGGAGAUUGAUUUGGUGGUUAAAGAAAGUGCCUUUUUGUGGAGACCAAUUGCUGAGAUGUCAGUCAUGGGUGAUGCACUUAAUAAGAAAAUCGUUUGGGCUUAGCCAAAGAUACAGUUUGUUAAUAACGCAAUGCCGCCUUCUUAAAAAGUAACAAGAUCAACACGUUCGGUAAGAUUCAAGAACCUUUAUUUUGUAGUAUGAUUUGAUUUGUUGUUCAUAUACUGGAAUUCUGAUGGAUAUACUUUUGAAUUUUCAAUUGUUAGAAUGGUAGUAUCAACACUAGUAGCAGUAAAGGUGAAAAGAAGAAAUGUUUAUUGUUAGAUAUCGAUAAAACUGAGAAGGUAGUUGCAACUGGUCGAGUUUCUUCAACAAAUCCAGAAGAUUUAGUACAUUUCGAACGCCUAGGAUUGAAUGCUAGCAUCGUGUGGGUAGAAUCUGAGAAGAUUGGAGAUGCUAAAUUCUGGAGACCAAAUUCUGAGAUUAUGUGCAUUGGCGAUGCAGUAGGCCUUACUGUACCUUGGCCUAAUGAUAGACUCAUUUUGAUAUGAUCUAUGUUAUGCAUGUGUUUGUUUGAUACUGCUGUGAACUUGGGUUAUUGACAGAUUUGAUAUUGUGUAAUAUUGUGUAAUAUUGAUGUGAACUUGUUGUAUGAUUGACAAUAUUAAUUAAAAGUUGAUUUAUGGUUUUCUUACAUUAUAUUGAUAUUGAUUAUAUAUGUAAACAACAACAUAAAUGAAAGCAGACAAUGAUUUUGUGACAUGCUUAAAUUAAAUUUAUAAAUAGCAUAUAAUAAACGCUGUUAUAAUUUAAACAAUAACACAACAUACCCGCUAUUAUAUUAAAAACAAUAGCAGAUGAUAUGCGCUAUUGUACACAAAACAAUAACAUAAAACACCCGCUAUUAUAAUGUACACUAUAACAAAUGAUAUCCGCUAUUGUAUUAACACUUUUAAUAGCGUCGCUAAAAACCGCUAUGAAAACUUGGCAAGCUAUCGUAGCGGGCGAUAACAUAUCGUUUUUAUUUUCGCUAUAGUAACGAUAAAUAGCGUUUUUCGUCUUCUAUUAAAAACCUAUUUUCCUGUAGUGAUUGCAACUUAUUGCAUCUCUGUUUUGUCGAAAGUGAGGACAAUAUUUUUCCAAGAAUUUCAUCUGUAAGACAACUUAUAGCUUGUGUCAAAUCUUUUGGCAUCCAUUGCCUGAAACAUGAAGUGAUGGGUCCUGUGAUUCAACUACUAGAUUAACCAACCGAAAGCGAUUGCUCUAGAAAGUUGAAUACUUCUAUAAAUACCCUAUAGAAGAAACUCAAAACUGCUUGAAUAGUAAAGAACGUGGGCAAUUAUAAUAACUAGAGAAGGAACAAAUAUGAAAGUUCUAUUGAUAUAGAGAGACUGAGAGAGAGACGAACUGUUCCUGUGGAGGACGUCGAAGAGAGAGAGAGACGGAGAGAACGAUGAUUACCAUAAUUUAGGUUUAGGGUUUCCAAAAAAAAAAUUAAACACUAAUUCCAAAAUGACAAGAGAAAAAUCGUUUAAAAGAACUUGCUAAUUAUCAAUAUCCCAUAUGAAAAAUUAAUUGAACCUAAUCAAACUAAAUUAACCAUACCAUACGAAUUGAACCAAAACGGUUCGAACAUACCUGAAAUAAUUUUGGUUAAAGUUCAAUUUACUAGAAUCGUAUAACUCUAAGGGCACAAUUAUCAGAAUCCCAGUCUCUACAUAUUCUCUUACAAGUAUCUUCAUAUUAGUCACCUUGACUACUCUACAGAUUCGUGCAUUAAUGUCUCUUUCACGUUAAAAAAAUCUUGGGAAAAGAAAGCAAAAGAGUAAUUUUGACCGUCUAGCUCUCUAGUCUCUAUAUAACCCCAAUCGUUAACAGAAUGAAGAUAAACUUAAAAACAUGGCAUCACAAACCAACAAAGAGCUUUUCGUGGGUGGACUUGCAAGGAUUUUGAAAGAACAGCGACAAGUCGAUGUCCGGCUGAAGGCAGGGGACAGCGAUCAGAAGGGUGUAUCUAUAUCUGCUCAUAAGCUUGUUCUGGUCUCUUCCUCUUUCCUUAUUAUUUUUUCAUCAUCAUAUGAUUCUUAAAAAAACAUUUACGAAACGUUCUUUACUCGUACUGAAUUUCAUUGUGAAUGUUAUGGAAUGUUUUAUAGUCUGCAAGAUCUGAGGUGUUUAAGAUGAUAUUGGAAACAGAAGAGAUCAAGGCUACAACUACGCUAGACACAAUCACUCUCUCAGAGCUAAAACACACAGAGUUAGUGGCUUUGGUUGAGUGAUAAGUACCAAAAUGGCUUAUCAAGAUAUGUAACAGAAAGAGAUGAGAUAAUAGAAGAAAUAGGUUGAGAUGCAGAAGAAUUUCAGAGAAGGAGAAGGAAGAUGAAGAAGAUAAACAUUCUUAAGAUUAUAAUCAAUAAGUGUUUUUCAAUGACUAAAGAAGAGUUUAAAUAAAAGACAUUACUAAAGUAAACAUGCCAAACACUAAGCCUUAUAAAAACCCAUAAGGCCCAACUCCUGAACCUAUCAAUACUCCCUCCUUUGAGAGUCACCUUGUCCUCAAGGUGGAAGAAAGUGAAUUCCUUGGACGAGUGUCCUAACUUCGGUUGAGCCUACAGCUGCAACCUUCUUUUUGACACUUGAUUCCCACUUAUCAACCAUCUCCUCAACAUGCAUUUGUGUAACCUCUUUACCGAAUUCAAUCAUUAGCCUUGAAACCACAGUUUUAAAAGGAUGAUACAAUCCCACAACUUCAAACGGUUCUGCAGUCCUUACCUCCUUUGAUAUGACCGCCUCUUUAGUCUGUUAUGUGUGCACCUUUAACACACACGGAGCGGGUUUGGUCUUUCUCACUCUUGGUUGACAUGUUCCGCGUACUUCCAGCUACAACUUCACUGUGUUUCACCCCGGGUUGCCCAAAAAAUGAUUUCUCAUCGUCAUUCUCUUUAGUAUCCUUCUAAGGUUCCAACCAUGAAACUUCUUCCAAGUGUUCUGGACUUAGCUUCAACUCUUGACUUUCAACGCUCUUAACAUGUCCACCUUGUAUUUCCUUAGCGAUUCCUCCACAUGUAACCUUACUCUCUCCUUUUAAAGUUACCUUGUCCUCAAGGUAGGAAACAACAAGCAUUUCCCCAUCGUUAUUUCUCUGUUCUUCAAUAUCCUCUUGCUCAUUUUCACUCUUCAUCUUUACUUUUGUAGUAACUUGCUCAAGUUCUUCGUGCUCAGCACAAAGAGUGAUCCAUUGUUGGUUGUGGCUGAAAGAGAAAUCUUGAUUCUGCCAAUUAACCAUUGUCUCUCCCAGUUUUGAGAGCCACUCAUAACCAAGAAUCACAUCCACAUCAGUCUUGGCCAAGUCUAGCAGAAGGAAAUUCUCAGUGAUUUCAACUUCUUGAACCCAUAAUCUAAUUCCGAGACAAGUUCCUACGCUUUGUAUGCACUGCCUUUGUCCCAAUAAAACUGAAGCUUGGUUUGUAAUACUCGUGGGUAGUUUGAGACUGAAGGCUAACUCAACUAAGAUAAAAUUGUCGGUUGCUCCAGAAUCUAUAGCUACAACGACCUUAUGAUCUAAUAUGAAGCCAUAGAAUCUCAUACCUUUGUUCCUGGUUAAAUCUAUCACUAGUUGCUCCAUUCCCUGUCUCAAGGUAUAACUAUCCUGCUCUAAUUCUUCCAGCUCAUUUAUAACUCCUUUUUUCUUCUUUACCACAUCCAGCUUAGCUUGUACCAGGGUAAGGCUCAUCAGCUCCGCCUGUCUUGAUUGGUAGCUGUUCUCAAUGACGACACAAUUCCAGAAUUUAUGAGAUUAUUACUUUCUUCUAACCAUUGUGUUGUAUCCAUCAUUUGUACAAUCCCAUUCGGUUUCAAUUCUCGAACUGCAGUUUGCAAACUAGGUUGCAACCCUUGUAAGAACAUCUCCUCGAAGCCUUGUCCUGGUAAGGUAACUGAGCGAAGACAAAGAGCUUCAAACCUUUCUCUGUAAUCACGCACUGAUCCUUCUUGUUGUAUUCCCGAAUAAUGAGGUUGAUGAUUUAACUUCAUUGUCGUCUUUGUCUCUCGGCCCAUCAUACACUUAAAUUCCUUCCAGCUUGUAGGUGAAUUCUUUUUCCAGAGAUGCUUUAUCCAUUGCCUAGUCUCUCCUUCCAAGUUAGCAUAAACAAUUUGUAACCUCUCAUGCUCCGAAAUUUUAUUCUCACCAAAAUAAUUCUCAAAGUUAUUUAGACAGCUUCUUAGGUUUUUUCCGUGAAAAGCAACGAGGCUCUGUACUAGCUGAAAGUCCUCAGUCCACGGCUCAGUUCCAGACCAACGUCACCACGGACAGCUGCAUCACACCUCAAGCUCCGUUAAAGGCAAAAGGGGAUGGGAUUCUACCCUUACCGCUGCUGGCAGUACCGAUCCAAACAAUGGAUCCGUCUCAGACAUCAUACGGGUUUAGCCAGAACACCGGUCAGCUAGGAUCUCCGGGUAACAACACUGGGUCACCUGGAAGAAGGUCAGAUCUAUCACAGUAUGAAGGACAGAGCCCAGAUGACUGGUUAUUCAGAAUGGAGAAGAGUUUUCUGCAGAACCAGACCUUGGAACAUCAAAAGUUGGAGGUAGCUAUAACGUGUUUAGUUUCGGUAACAGCUUUAAAUUGGUUGAGAGGUGUGCUAAUGAGAGGAUUGUUCAAAGAUUGUAAUGAUUUUAAGAAAAAAGUUCGAAAAUGAUUUGGACACAGUCGUUGCGGGUCUGUUGUGUGGCAGUUGUUGAACAUCAGACAGAAAGGCUCAGUGGAGGAAUUUAGAGAACGGUUUGAAGAAUUAAUAGUUGAGGUGCCACACAUUACUAACGAUCUUUUGGAAGGAAUUUUCUUAAAGGGAAUGAGGAAAAAUAUAAGAGACCAAGUGAUGCGUACACGUCCCUCUAGCAUAUAUGAGAUUGUGGAGACAGCAUGCCUCAUAGAAGAGCAAGAGCAGGAGAAGACGUCUUUCCACUCAAAUUACAACUCGAAAUCCGUUAGUAGAACAAAUUCAGCUCCGGUGCUUCAUCGAAGCAACAACAAUAGCCCUAUCAAGACACAGGAUAUCAUUCAAGCUAGGAGGUCAUUUGAUGGGGUAAGAGAUAACAGGAAACCGGAUCAGAGGAACAACGCAUGCUACACGUGUGGAGACCGCUAUUUUCCAGGACACCGCUGUAAAAAUCAGAAGCUCAAAUGUUUGGAGUUGGUCGCAACAAGCGAGGCGGGACAGUUACUGGAGGAGGAAGACGAAUCUGAGAGUGAAGAAGAACCGGAACCUAAGGUGGAAGGACAGACAAUGAUGCAUCUUUCGUUGAGUUCAAUGGCUGGCCUUACUAAUGAAAAGUCUAUGAGGAUGAAAGGAUGGAUAGCAGGUCAGGAAGUGAUCGUGUUGAUUGAUUCAGGAGCAACUAGUAACUUCAUUUCUGAAGAAGUUGCUCAGCGGUGCUCACUAACAGUCACACCAACAAGUGAUUUUGGAGUAGCAGUUGGUAAUGGUCAGAUUAUUUCAGGACAAGGCAAAGUUAAGGAUGUGCAGCUACACAUUCAAGGGGUGGAUAUUAAGGAGGAGUUUUUUCUGUUUGCUUUGGGAACCACAGAUAUAGUGCUGGGGUACUCGUGGUUAGCUACCUUGGGAGAUACAAGGAUCAAUUGGGGGCGCCACACUCUGAAAUUCAAGGUCAACGAAGAAUGGGUGACACUAGUGGGAGACCCAGCCCUCUUGAGACAACAGAUAUCUCUUCAUGCAUUGGAAAAAACAGUGAGAAAAGGUGACACAUGAGGCGGAAGGAAACAACAGUUUGGGGGUUCAGAAACUUAUCAAGGAUUACAAGAAGGUUUUCCAGUUACCACAAAGGUUACCUCCAUCAAGGAAUAGAGAGCAUUCCAUCACCUUACAACUAGGAAGCUCACCGAUCAAGGCUAGACCAUAUCGGUAUUCAUUCGCACAAAAGAAUGAAAUGGAGAAGUUGAUCAGAGAGAUGCUAGCAGCUGAGAUAAUCAGACCUAGUAUCAGCCCAUUCUCAAGUCCUGUACUAUUGGUCAAGAAGAAAGACGGAGGCUGGAGAUUUUGCGUGGACUACAGGGCAUUGAGCAAGGCUACCGUUCCGGACUGAUAUCCAAUCCCAGUGAUCGAGGAACUGCUGGAUGAGCUACACAGAGCCACGAUGUUCUCCAAAUUGGACCUUAAAUCGGGGUACCAUCAGAUACGAAUGAAGGCUGCAGAUGUGGAGAAGACAGCUUUCUGUACUCAUGAGGGUCAUUACGAGUUCUUGGUCAUGCCGUUUGAUUUGACCAAUGCACCGGCCACCUUUCAGUCAGUAAUGAAUGAGUUGUUUCGAACCUACCUGCGUCAAUUUGUUCUAGUGUUCUUUGACGACAUUCUGGUUUAUAGCUCAGACGAAGAGACCCACCUUAAACAUCUAGAAGCGGUUCUCCAAAUUCUACUUCAGAAUAAGUUAUAUGCCAAUGAAAAGAAAUGUCACUUUGGAAGCACCAGAAUCUCUUACUUGGGUCACAUGGUAACAGGGAAAGGUGUGUCUGCGGAUCCAGCUAAAAUUGAAGCUAUGGUGAACUGGCCUCAACCAAAGAACAUAACUGAGCUGAGGGGGUUCCUGGGACACACUGACUACUACAGAAGGUUUGUAGCAGGUUAUGGGAAGAUAGCCAAACCCUUAACAGAAUUGCUUAAAAAGGGUAAGUUUGAAUGGUCUGAAGCAGCUAAUAAAGCUUAUGAGACACUUAAAGGAGCAGUUAUCCAGUUGCCAACCUUAGCAUUGCUAGACUUUGCAAAGCCUUUUGUGAUUGAAACGGAUGCUUCAGGGACGGGAAUCGGGGUUGUGCUAUCACAAGAUAAACGUCCCAUAGCGUUUAUUAGCCAGGGGUUCUCUAGUAAGGGCAGAAUUAAGUCAGUUUACGAGAGAGAGCUGUUGGCCAUUGUCUUUGUAGUGGACAAGUGGAAACACUAUCUAGCAAGCAAGAAGGUGAUUAUAAGGACAGAUCAGAGGAGUCUCAAACAUCUGCUUAACCAGAAAGCUGUGUCAGCUAUACAGCAGAGAUGGGCAUCCAAACUUGUCAGUUUGGAUUAUGAAAUUGAGUACAAACCAGGCGCAGAAAAUCGUGUAGCAGACGCUUUGUCCCGACGUCCAGUCACAGAGCAGGUGAUGAACAUGUUGUUGCUGGCUCCAGCUACUCUGCACAAGAUUGAAUUACAAGAUCAAGUACAAGGCGACCCUAGCCUCAACCUCAUCAGAGAAAAGCUUUUAAGUGGACAAGAGUCUGAAAAAGGAUACAGUUUGGUGGUUGGCACCUUACAUAAAGAUGGUAGGAUAAUGAUUCCAACAAAUUCUCCUUUUAUUCCAAAGUUGUUGGAAAGGUUCCACACUAGUCCCAUUGGGGGUCAUGAAGGGGUGCUCAAGACACUCAAGAGAUUGGCGAGUGAAGUUUAUUGGAAGGGAAUGAGGAGAGACGUGGUAGAGUUCCUCAGAGGCUGUCAAGUGUGUCAACAAAAUAAGUACUCAACCUUGUCACCAGCGGGUCUUCUCACACCGCUACCCAUUCCUACUAAGGUAUGGUCGAACAUUAGCCUUGAUUUUAUUGAUGGGUUACCAAAGUCUGAAGGCUAUGAUGUGGUGUUAGUAGUGGUAGAUAGGCUUAGUAAUUAUGAUCACUUUGUACCGCUGAAGCAUCCUUACACAGCCAAGUCUAUAGCAGAUAUUUUCCUUCAUGAAAUAGUCAGACUUCAUGGGUUUCCUGAGAGUAUGGUCUCAGAUAGGGAUAAAAUCUUUAUCAUCAAUUUCUGGUCUUCUCUGUUCAAAUCACACGGAACAUCCCUGGAUAAGAGUACAUCAUAUCACCCUCAGACAGAUGGCCAUACAAAAGUUCUGAAUCGUUGCUUAGAGACGUAUAUUCGUUGCUUUGUUAAUGGGAAACCAAAGACUUGGGCUAAGUGGCUAAUGUAGGCUGAAUACUGGUAUAACACAUCGUUCCACUCUGCGAUUAAGAUGACUCCAUUUCAGGCUCUGUAUGGGAGAGAACCUCCCAAACUCUUGCGAUUCGGUGAUGUACCCACUGCUAACGCCGGCGUUGAAGAGUUGCUGCAAGAAAGAGACUGACUGGUCACUAUGCUGAGAGAGAAUCUACAAGCAGCCCAAGCUCGAAUGCAGAAGUCAGCUAACAAGCAUAGAAGAGAAUUGGAAUUCUCAGUGGGAACUUGGGUCUAUUUAAAACUCAGGCCGUAUAGACAGCUUUCUGUAGCUCAACGACGUAAUGAGAAGCUAUCGCCAAGGUUCUUUGGUCCGUAUAAGAUUCUGGAACGCAUAGGAGCAAUGGCAUAUAAGCUGCAGCUACCAACUGAAAGUUCUAUUCAUCAUGUGUUCCACAUAUCCCAACUGAGACAGGCGCUUCCAGGUUCAGCACAAGCUCAACCCCUUCGCGAUUAUGACUUCUAACUUGGAGUGGGCAACAGAACCAGAAGAGGUAAUGGAGAUCAGAGAGGGCAACACAACAGAAGAUACUAAGCUCUUGAUUAAGUGGAAGGGUAUGCCAGAGUGUGAGAAUACAUGGGAACCAAUGACGGGCAUCACGCAACAAUUUCCAGAUUCUCACCUUGAGGACAAAGUGGCUUUGUUACGGGGGAGUAUUGGUAAGGCAGCAACUCAAGCAAUGGAGUCAGCAAGAGAAGUCAGAAUUCCAAGGAAGAGAGUACCAAAGAAGGUUUAUGAUCCUAGUGGCUGAAAUGAAGCUAAAGGAAGUCAAGGAAAUACUCUGUACCAUCCAGAGGCUUUGACAAUGUCUUUGACAAUGUCAAAGAAUAAGAAUGCCUAUAGUUUUCUUAUUUAACUUUGUGUCAUUUAAGUGUUGUUGUGAGUGAGUGGUUGUAGUUUCUGUAGGGGAACUACUACUUAAGCGGAACUCUAUUUUAGGGUUAUAUUCAUCAAUGAAUUAAUCAACUUUCCUUAUUACUCUUCUCUCUUAUCUUACUCGACUUCUAUCCUAUACUUCUUCUUCCUUUUCUACUUCUAUUCUCUGUUUUCCUUCUUGAUAAGUUCACGCUUAUCAAUUGGCUUAGUGUUUGGCCUGUUUACUUUAGUAAUGUCUUUUAUUUAAACUCUUCUUUAGUCAUUGAAAAACACUUAUCGAUUAAGAACAAGAAAUGUUUAUCUUCUUCAUCUUCUCUCUUCUUCUUCCUGCCUUUCUCUGAACUCUUCUGAAUCUCAUCUCUAUUUCUUCUGUAUCUCACCUCAUUUCUGUUACUUCACUUGAUAAGCCAUUUUGGUACUUGAUAAUCCAGAAUCGAAAUUCUUCUGCUGGUGAAACACACGCCAAGUGUUCGACAAAACGCCCAGGCGAGAUUUCUGCAUUUUUCCUUGGUGUGGGUUCAGAUUUGGUCGUGAGACCUUGAGGCAGCUCGUGAUGUUCUUGUUUCCUCUUCUCAGGUGGUUCUUCAGUUGCAUUCACCGGAAAAAGCGUAGCAAAAAUUUCACGAAUCCCUUUUCGAUACUCCUCUUGUUGAGCUUCAAGCCUUUGGACGAUGGAAUCUAGCUUUUCCUCCACCUUUUCAACAAAUCGAUCGAGUGUUGCUUCUAGAUCAGAGAUUGUGGCGGCUUGAUUGGUUUGAGCAGCUUGAGUAGUCUUGAGUUCAACUCUCAAUGAAAGCACCAAUUGAUAAGUACCAAAAUGGCUUAUCAAGAUAUGUAACAGAAAGAGAUGAGAUAAUAGAAGAAAUAGGUUGAGAUGCAGAAGAAUUUCAGAAAAGGAAAGGAAGGAGAAAGAAGAUGAAGAAGAUAAACAUUCUUAAGAUUAUAAUCGAUAAGUGUUUUUCAAUGACUAAAGAAGAGUUUAAAUAAAAGACAUUACUAAAGUAAACAGGCCAAACACUAAGCCUUAUAAAAACCCAUAUAUAAGGCCCAACUUCUGAACCUAUCAUUGAGUUCAUCUACAGUUCCGGAUCUAGGCUUUCUACGAAAGGGAGGCAACACGUUAGGUCACUCUAUCUUGCAGCCGAUAAAUAUGAGAUUCCGCAUCUACGUGACCUAUGCAGAAUCCAAC